rnacentral:lncRNA from 1 species
AAAAAAAAAAAAAAAAACCUAGAAAUAGUUAUAGAGAUAGCGAUAACGUACCGCAUCUUGCACUCCAUCCGUUGCUACACGCGAUGGAAGAUGCUGCAAUUCAUAAUUAUCCUUUAAUUAGUGUUCAAUGAUGGAAGCUAAAGAAGUCUACAAUAUAUGCAGGGUAGAUUAAGAGAUUACUUAAUAACCUCAAAUUGAAUUGAAUAGAGAGUGGAAUUUGGAUAGACAUAUAAUGUUCAGUAAGUUCAAAAAGGAAGCAAUCAGGAUGUAUCUUGCAUAAGAAUUUUUUCUUAUCGAGCAAAUUGUCGAUUUAUUUGAUUUUUUUUUUGAAUGAAUUUGUCCAUUUCUCUCACAUCAUGUGUCUUGUAAAAUGUAAUGAUUAUAAAAAAUGACUGUAAUUUAUUUAAAUUAACUCGUGAAUGAAAGAAUCAUACUGCGGAACCAAUAUGAAUAAUAAUCAGAUAAAGCUCACAUGAACGAGAGAAUCAUGUACCUUAAUUUUUUCUUCAUCAAUUGUUGUUCCGUUAGGGUUAAUUCACAAAUUUUUUAAAACAGUAAAAUUGUUAAAUUAAAAAAAUGUUAAUUAAGCAAAAUUUACAUCAGAUCUGAGCCUCGAGUCAUCUAAUUUGUUGAUGAUCUUAUUAGAGAAUCAAGAAAAUGGCAUAUAGCAAGGCUAGGAGCUGAAUUAAUUACCCCAUCGGUCAUUUCCUGAGAAGCACAUGUCGGUACUGAUGAUGAGGCCUUCAUGUCUGCACUUUGCUAACCAAUUAACCCUAGAAAUUGAGAAAGAGAGGUAGAUAGAGAGAGGAAACAGAUCUAGUGAGUAUCAAAUAAAUUGGUUUAUUAUUGUGUCCUUUUUAUUGCAUACAAAAGUUGGCAAUGUUUGCACAUUUGGUAAGUAAAGGUGGAGGAGAUUAAGGGUAAAUUUGCUAAAGCAACGGCUACUCUCAUCAUUGGGGUCCAAAUUAAGUUUAUCUAGCUAUUAUGCUAUAAUUUUAUCUAGGCAGGCCUCUUUUGUUUUUUUCUUACUGUUUUGAAAUAGUGUAGAUUAAGUAGUUAUUUUACUAAUUUAAUGUAAAUGUUACAUUUUGGUCCUUCAACUUUUUUUUUUUUGUUUGCCCUGUUGUUUGUAGAUUCUCUAUUACGAAUCGUAUCAAAUAGAUAUAAUUCUAUGUAAAUGUUACAUUUUGGUCCUUCAACUAUUUUACUAAUUUAAUGUAAAUGUUACAUUUUGGUCCUUCAACUUUUUUUUUUUGUUUGCCCUGUUGUUUGUAGAUUCUCUAUUACGAAUCGUAUCAAAUAGAUAUAAUUCUGCCAUUAAGACGAACUUUUUUAGUUUUUUUUCAAGAGAUAAAUUUGCACGAGCGUUGAAAGAAAUUGCAAUGUAUUUCUCAUUUGAAAAUAUUUUUCUGGAAUAAAUUCCACAUCUUAUUUUACUCAAGUCACAAUAGUAAAUGGUUAGCUUUAUAUAUAGCGCAUAUGAGCUUCCAUUAUUUGAUGUUUGGUCCCCGUAUCUGUAAGGAUUUGCAGUAUCUAAUUGCUUGGAUAAUUAAUUAAUUAAAUAGUUUCUUUCUUUUUUAAAGCAGAAAUUCCAUAUCUCUUGUGUGUUUUGUUAUCAACAAAAUUUUUUAUCAACUUCUCCGAUGCAUUGAAUUGGAAAAAAUCUAAACUAUAGAAAUUGUUGUCAUCAAAAAUCAGGAUUUAUUUGUGUUCAUGAUGAACACUUUGCAUAUAUACACAUAACUUUGUUUAAAUUAAAAAACAAUCCACUUUAUUUGUUAUUAUGAUCUUGAUUCUAUGGGUUAUUGAUCUCCAUAAGAGUUUUAGACCAAGUCUGCUGUGUGUCAUUUGAAACCUUCUCCUGUCCAAUAAAGGCUGACCAGUUGUCGGUCCGAGCAUCGGCAAGAACCCAUGUAACUUCUUCAGGCCGGUUUUUAAAGUCAAAUUUAAUACGUUUAGCUUUAGCACCAAUCUUCCUCCCCCUCUUUGGCUGUUGGCUACUUGAUUGAGGGUCAGGGUUAGAGCUCCCAGCAGCAUCCUGCGUGUAUAUGUAUACUCAAGGAUGUUACAUCGAAUAUAAGAAAAUUGAAAACAACAAUUUAAAUACUAGCCAAAGAUGAGAUGUGAUUUUGAAAGCUCACUCACAUUGGUAAGGCCAACUACUGGUGGUGUCUCAAGCUUUUUCCGGUCAUUUUCUUGCAAUGCGUUAGGAGUAAUUGGAUUAAUAUUUUGUCCCUUUGACAGUAAGUGCUUCUCGACUUCUUUAAAUGAUCUGAACUGCUUGUUUGUCCCCGGCUCAUAGUAGAACUGCACAUUCAUUUGAAACACACUCAACAAUCAGGCUCACCACAUCCUUUUGAGCUGCAAUUCAUAAUUAUCCUUUAAUUAGUGUUCAAUGAUGGAAGCUAAAGAAGUCUACAAUAUAUGAAGGGUAGAUUAAGAGAUUACUUAAUAACCUGAAAUUGAAUUGAAUAGAGAGUGGAAUUUGGAUAGACAUAUAAUUUUCAGUAAGUUCAAAAAGGAAGCCAUCAGGAUGAAUCUUGAAUAAGAAUUUUCUGUUACCGAGCAAAUUGUCGAUUUAUUUCAUUUGAUUUUUUUUUUUGAAGGAAUUUGUCCAUUGCUCUCACAUCAUAUGUCUUGUAAAAUGUCAUGACUCGAAAAAAUGACUGUACUUUAUUUAAAUUAACUCGUGAAUGAAAGAAUCAUACUGCGGAACUAAUAUGAAUAAUAAUCAGGGCUUUUGAUCAAGAGCAGGCACCAUCCUCAAAGGCACAGCGUCAAUGAUCUGAAGCUCAUUGGGCGGAAUCAAAGUGUUAGUUUCUUCGGCUUUCGUCAUCUGCAAAAUGCAACAAAAAAAGAAAAAAGAGAAACCCAAAUAAAUAUACAAUUACAGAGAAAAUUGACUUAUCAUGGUGGUGAUAAAAGUGAAGAAAUAAAAUCUUUCUUGUCGUUUGAUUUAGUGGGUGCAUGUACGAUGUGGGGGAAUAGAGAGAGUGAAAUACAUUUUUUGAUGGCAAGUACAUGUAACUAGCAGUCCUUUAGUGUUAGGUAUUGUGUAAAUAAAAUAAAAUAAAUUAUACCUAGGACGUUGUAUAAGUUUAAAACAUGCAAUGACUUUUAAGCCAAAAAAAAAAAAAGUUUAUGUAAGGCUGAAAUAAACCUACCUCUUCUAAAUUAAUCUAUGCAUACAUGUUAAAAUAGAAACUCGUCCGCACUAACCCUAUUAUUAAUUUGAAAGGGACACAAGAAUAUUGUUGAUAAAGAAUGCUGGAGCAUUAGAUAGUAUUGGACCUCUCUCAACUCCAAAAGCUAACUUAAGAGGUAAGGUUUACCCUCACACUUAUAAAGUCACUAUCAGCCCCUUCCCCAACCAAUGUGGGAUAACCCCAAUAAUCUCCUCCUCACACACAGGGCUUGGAUCAAAAGCAUAGAUACCUAUUCUCUCAAUUAGACUAUUAGGUUGAGAUGUUGGUGAACCUGAACUUUAAUAUUACUGUUUGGUAGUCCUAUGCCUCUUUCAACCCCAAAAGCUAGCUCAAGGGGUGAGGCUUUCCCUCAUACUUAUAAAGUCACUACCGGCCCCUUGCACAACCGAUAUGGGAUAAUUGAAACAAGUAGCAAUUAUAGUUUAUCUAAUUAGAAUAAAAAGGACUUUUGAAGGAAAAUGAAUUAAUAAGAAGAUUCUCUUGUAAUGAAAACCAUAAAAAAUAGGGAUAUACUAAAUACACAUUGAUUUUUAUCUUUCCAAUUGUAUAAGAUUGAUGUAAAUUUGUUUUUCCUACAAAAAUAACAAUAACAGUUAAAUCUCAUAUAUAUCUUAUGUUUCACUGGUAUUAAAUAACUCUUAGAUUGUCUAAUUCACAUAAAAAUCAAUAGUAAAUCCACAUUUAAGUAAUGCACCUCUAAAGAAAUAUUAAUUUCACAUUUACGUUCCCAAUCAUAUUAGCUAUCAUAAUUAAUAUUUUCUUUUUGCAGGAAUAAAAAAUUAAUAUAUAACUAAAUAAUGUAAAUUACGAAUCAACGUGAACAAAAGAUAAACUGUCUCCUACCAUACAUAACAUUCUAAAUUUUUUUACUAACUUGCCCAGGCAUAGGUAAUCUCGAUGUCAUAUGAUAGGUAAUAAUGAUUGACAACUCCAUCCGUUGCUACAUGCGAUGGAAGAGGCUGCAAUUCAUAAUUAUCCUUUAAUUAGUGUUCAAUGAUGGAAGCUAAAGAAGUCUACAAUAUAUGAAGGGUAGAUUAAGAGAUUACUUAAUAACCUGAAAUUGAAUUGAAUAGAGAGUGGAAUUUGGAUAGACAUAUAAUUUUCAGUAAGUUCAAAAAGGAAGCCAUCAGGAUGAAUCUUGAAUAAGAAUUUUCUGUUAUCGAGCAAAUUGUCGAUUUAUUUCAUUUGAUUUUUUUUUUUAAGGAAUUUGUCCAUUGCUCUCACAUCAUAUGUCUUGUAAAAUGUCAUGACUCGAAAAAAUGACUGUACUUUAUUUAAAUUAACUCGUGAAUGAAAGAAUCAUACUGCGGAACUAAUAUGAAUAAUAAUCAGAUAAAGCUUACAUGAACGAGAGAAUCAUGUACCUUAAUUCUUUCUUCCUCAAUUGUUGUUCUUUUUUGGUUAAUUCACAAACUUUUAAAACUUAGUAAAAUUAUUAAAUUAAAAAAAUGUUAAUUAAGCAAAAUUCCAUCAGAUCUGCGCCUCGAGCCAUCUAAUUUGUUGAUGAUCUUAUUAGAGAAUCAAGAAAAUGGCAUAGAGCAAGGAUAGGAGCGGAAUUAAUUACCCCAUCGGUCAUUUCUUGAGAAGGAAGUGUCGGCACUGAUGAUGAGGCCUUCAUGUCUCUACUUUGCCAACCAAUUAACCCUAGAAAUUGAGAAAGAGAGGUAGAUAGAGAGAGGAAACAGAUCUAGUGAGUGUCAAAUAAACUGGCUUAUUAUUGUGUCCUUUUUAUUGCAUGCAAAAGUUGGCAAUGUUUGCACAUUUGGUAAGUAAAGGUGGAGGAGAUUCAGAGUAAAUUUACUAAAGCAACGGCUACUCUCAUCAUUGUGGUCUAAAUUAAGUUAAUCAAGAUAUUAUGCUAUAAUUUUAUCUCGGCAGGCCCCAUUUUUUUUUUACUCUUUAUGUUUGAAAUACUGUAGAUUAAGUAGUCAUUUUACUAAUUAUAGGUAAAUGUUACAUUUUGGUUCUUUAACUUUGCUCUUUUUUUUGUUUGCCAUGUUGUUUGUAGAUUCUCUAUUAUGAAUCGUAUCAAAUGCAUAUAAUUCUGCCACUAAGACGAACUUUUUUUUUUCAAGAGAUAAAUUUGCAUGAGGGUAGAAAGAAAUUACAGUGUAUUUCUCAUUUGAAACUAUUUUUCUGGAAUAAAUUCCAUAUCUUAUUUUACCCAAGUCACAAUAGUACAUGGUUUGCCUUAUAUAUAGCGCAUAUGAGCUUCCAUUAUUUGAUGUUUGGUACCCAUAUCUCUAUGGAUUUGCAGUAUCUAAUUGCUUGGAUAAUUAAGUAAUUAAACAGUUUCUUUCUUUUUUAAAGUAGAAAUUCCAUAUGUAUUGUGUGUUUUUUUAUCAAUAAAAAAUUUUAUCAACUUUUCCGAUGCAUUGAAUAGGAAAAAAUCUAAACUAUAGAAAUUGUUGUUGUCAUGGGGUUUAUCACACAUCAGGAUUUAUUUGUGUUCAUGAUGAACACUUUGCAUAUAUACACAUAAUUUCGUUUAAAUUAAAAAUAAUGCACGUUUUUUGUUAUUAUGAUCUUGAUUCUCUGGGUUAUUGAUCUCCAUAAGAGUUUUAGACCAAGUCUGCUGCGUGUCAUUUGAAAACUUCUCUUGUCCAAUAAAGGCUGACCAAUUGUUGGUAUAAGCAUCGGCAAGAACCCAUGUAACUUCUUCAGGCCGGUUUUUAAAGUCAAAUUUAAAACGUUUCGCUUUAGCACCGAUCUUCCUCCUCCUCUUUGGCUGUUGGUUGCUUGAUUCAGGGUCAGGAUUAGAGCUCCCAGCAGCAUCCUGCAUGUAUAUCAGUAUAAGUAUACACAUAGAUGUUGCAUGAAAUAUACUAAAAUUAAAAGCAACAAUUUAAAUACAAGCCGAAAGUAAGAUUUGAUUUUGAAAGCUCACUCACUUUGGUAAGGCCAGCUACCGGCGGUGUCUCAAGCUUCUUCCGGUCAUUUUCUUGCAAUGCGUUAGGAGUAAUUCGAUUAAUAUUUUGUCCUUUUGACUUGACUUAUUUCUAUUAGUAAUUUCAUAGUUUAUGUAAUCUACAUGAACAUUUAAUAUUAGGCGCGAAACCCAUUUUAUUCUUCCCUUUUUGUUUUGACAACUCAUGUAUGUAUGUAUGUAUCAUGUUUUUCUUUCUUUUCUUUUUCAAGAAAAAAAAAACGCGCGAAAUCACAUUUACGCUCUAUACCCCCCUCUGACCUAAAAGAAAACUUGAGAUCCAUAAAUUAGUUUGCUAAUGAAAAACAAUUAAUCAAAUUUAUGCAUUUCCUGCAUUUUUUUCUCUUACAGGUACCAUAUAGCUCAGUAUCAAGCAUUGACUACAACAAAACAAAAAAAAAAACCUAGAAAUAGUUAUAGAGAUAGCGAUAACAUACAGUAUCUUGCACUCCAUCCGUUGCUACACGCGAUGGAAGAGGCUGCAAUUCAUAAUUAUCCUUUAAUUAGUGUUCAAUGAUGGAAGCUAAAGAAGUCUACAAUAUAUGAAGGGUAGAUUAAGAGAUUACUUAAUAACCUGAAAUUGAAUUGAAUAGAGAGUGGAAUUUGGAUAGACAUAUAAUUUUCAGUAAGUUCAAAAAGGAAGCCAUCAGGAUGAAUCUUGAAUAAGAAUUUUCUGUUACCGAGCAAAUUGUCGAUUUAUUUCAUUUGAUUUUUUUUUUUGAAGGAAUUUGUCCAUUGCUCUCACAUCAUAUGUCUUGUAAAAUGUCAUGACUCGAAAAAAUGACUGUACUUUAUUUAAAUUAACUCGUGAAUGAAAGAAUCAUACUGCGGAACUAAUAUGAAUAAUAAUCAGAUAAAGCUUACAUGAACGAGAGAAUCAUGUACCUUAAUUCUUUCUUCCUCAAUUGUUGUUCUUUUUUGGUUAAUUCACAAACUUUUAAAACUUAGUAAAAUUAUUAAAUUAAAAAAAUGUUAAUUAAGCAAAAUUCCAUCAGAUCUGCGCCUCGAGCCAUCUAAUCUGUUGAUGAUCUUAUUAGAGAAUCAAGAAAAUGGCAUAGAGCAAGGAUAGGAGCGGAAUUAAUUACCCCAUCGGUCAUUUCUUGAGAAGGAAGUGUCGGCACUGAUGAUGAGGCCUUCAUGUCUCUACUUUGCCAACCAAUUAACCCUAGAAAUUGAGAAAGAGAGGUAGAUAGAGAGAGGAAACAGAUCUAGUGAGUGUCAAAUAAACUGGCUUAUUAUUGUGUCCUUUUUAUUGCAUGCAAAAGUUGGCAAUGUUUGCACAUUUGGUAAGUAAAGGUGGAGGAGAUUCAGAGUAAAUUUACUAAAGCAACGGCUACUCUCAUCAUUGUGGUCUAAAUUAAGUUAAUCAAGAUAUUAUGCUAUAAUUUUAUCUCGGCAGGCCCCAUUUUUUUUUUACUCUUUAUGUUUGAAAUACUGUAGAUUAAGUAGUCAUUUUACUAAUUAUAGGUAAAUGUUACAUUUUGGUUCUUUAACUUUGCUCUUUUUUUUGUUUGCCAUGUUGUUUGUAGAUUCUCUAUUAUGAAUCGUAUCAAAUGCAUAUAAUUCUGCCACUAAGACGAACUUUUUUUUUUCAAGAGAUAAAUUUGCAUGAGGGUAGAAAGAAAUUACAGUGUAUUUCUCAUUUGAAACUAUUUUUCUGGAAUAAAUUCCAUAUCUUAUUUUACCCAAGUCACAAUAGUACAUGGUUUGCCUUAUAUAUAGCGCAUAUGAGCUUCCAUUAUUUGAUGUUUGGUACCCAUAUCUCUAUGGAUUUGCAGUAUCUAAUUGCUUGGAUAAUUAAGUAAUUAAACAGUUUCUUUCUUUUUUAAAGUAGAAAUUCCAUAUGUAUUGUGUGUUUUUUUAUCAAUAAAAAAUUUUAUCAACUUUUCCGAUGCAUUGAAUAGGAAAAAAUCUAAACUAUAGAAAUUGUUGUUGUCAUGGGGUUUAUCACACAUCAGGAUUUAUUUGUGUUCAUGAUGAACACUUUGCAUAUAUACACAUAAUUUCGUUUAAAUUAAAAAUAAUGCACGUUUUUUGUUAUUAUGAUCUUGAUUCUCUGGGUUAUUGAUCUCCAUAAGAGUUUUAGACCAAGUCUGCUGCGUGUCAUUUGAAAACUUCUCUUGUCCAAUAAAGGCUGACCAAUUGUUGGUAUAAGCAUCGGCAAGAACCCAUGUAACUUCUUCAGGCCGGUUUUUAAAGUCAAAUUUAAAACGUUUCGCUUUAGCACCGAUCUUCCUCCUCCUCUUUGGCUGUUGGUUGCUUGAUUCAGGGUCAGGAUUAGAGCUCCCAGCAGCAUCCUGCAUGUAUAUCAGUAUAAGUAUACACAUAGAUGUUGCAUGAAAUAUACUAAAAUUAAAAGCAACAAUUUAAAUACAAGCCGAAAGUAAGAUUUGAUUUUGAAAGCUCACUCACUUUGGUAAGGCCAGCUACCGGCGGUGUCUCAAGCUUCUUCCGGUCAUUUUCUUGCAAUGCGUUAGGAGUAAUUCGAUUAAUAUUUUGUCCUUUUGACUGUAAGUGCUUCUCGACUUCUUUAAAUGAUCUGAACUGCUUGUUUGUUCCCGGCUUAUAGUAAAACUGCACAUUCAUUUGAAACACACUCGACAUUAGGCGCACCACAUGCUUUUGAAAUAAAUUUCUGUAACUAUACAUUCGAGCUAUUAAUUGAAAAAACAUACUCUGUACAUAAUAAUAAAAUAAAAUUAAUAAACAUAUCCCACAGAAUUAUAAGCAACAUGCAAUUUCAGCAUACAGCUCUCUAAUUUGAAAAAACAUACUCUGUACAUAAUAAUAAAAUAAAAUUAAUAAACAUAUCCCACAGAAUUAUAAGCAACAUGCAAUUUCAGCAUACAGCUCUCUAAUUUGAAAAAACAUACUCUGUACAUAAUAAUAAAAUAAAAUUAAUAAACAUAUCCCACAGAAUUAUAAGCAACAUGCAAUUUCAGCAUACAGCUCUCUAAUUUGAAAGUUAACUUUCAAAGCUAUGAAAACCUAGAUAAGAAGAAAUUGAGUGUUGGGGCCACCUGGUCAAUUUUUCCUUUGUAAUUAGCGUGGGUUCUUUGCCUCUGCUCGAACAUCCACCCUUCAGGCAAUCCAAUUCUUCUGCCGUCUAUCAGUGGACCUCUAGGGCCUUUUCCCCUUCUCGGCUUUUGAUCAAGAGCAGGCACCAUCCUCAAAGGCACAGCGUCAAUGAUCUGAAGCUCAUUGGGCGGAAUCAAAGUGUUAGUUUCUUCGGCUUUCGUCAUCUGCAAAAUGCAACAAAAAAAGAAAAAAGAGAAACGCAAACAAAUAUACAAUUAUAGAGAAAAUUGACUUAUCAUGGUGGUGAUAAAAGUGAAGAAAUAAAAUCUUUCUUGUCGUUUGAUUUAGUGGGUGCAUGUACGAUGUGGGGGAAUAGAGAGAGUGAAAUACAUUUUUUGAUGGCAAGUACAUGUAACUAGCAGUCCUUUAGUGUUAGGUAUUGUGUAAAUAAAAUAAAAUAAAUUAUACCUAGGACGUUGUAUAAGUUUAAAACAUGCAAUGAAUUUUAACGCAAAAAAAUAAAAAUAAAUAGAAGUUUACUUGUGGCCCAAAUAAACCUGUCUCUUCUAGAAUAAUCUAUGCAUACAUGUUAAAAUAUAAACUCGUGGGCAAUAACCCUAUCAUUAAUUUGAAAGUGACACAAGAAUAUUGUUGAUAAAGAAUGUUGUAGUGGUAGGUGGUAUUGGACAUCUUUCAACUCCAAAAGCUUGCUCACGAGAUAAGGUUUUUCAUCACACUUAUAAAGUCACUAUCAACCCCUUCCACAACCAACGUGGGAUAACCCAAAAAAUCUCCUCCUCACACAAAGGGCUUGGAUCAAAAGCAUAGACACCUAUUCUCUCAAUUAGAUUAUAUAGAUUGAGAUGUUGGUGAGCCUGGACUUUAAUAUUAGUAUUUGGUAGUCUCAAGCCUCUUUCAACCUCAAAAGUUAGGCCAAGGGGUGAGGCUUUCCCUCACACUUAUAAAGUCACUACCGGCCCCUUCCACAACCGAUAUGGGAUAAUUGAAACAAGUAGCAAUUAUAGUUUAUCUAAUUAGAAUAAAAAGGACUUUUGAAGGAAAAUGAAUUAAUAAGAAGAUUCUCUUGUAAUGAAAACCAUAAAAAAUAGGGAUAUACUAAAUACACAUUGAUUUUUAUCUUUCCAAUUGUAUAAGAUUGAUGUAAAUUUGUUUUUCCUACAAAAAUAACAAUAACAGUUAAAUCUCAUAUAUAUCUUAUGUUUCACUGGUAUUAAAUAACUCUUAGAUUGUCUAAUUCACAUAAAAAUCAAUAGUAAAUCCACAUUUAAGUAAUGCACCUCUAAAGAAAUAUUAAUUUCACAUUUACGUUCCCAAUCAUAUUAGCUAUCAUAAUUAAUAUUUUCUUUUUGCAGGAAUAAAAAAUUAAUAUAUAACUAAAUAAUGUAAAUUACGAAUCAACGUGAACAAAAGAUAAACUGUCUCCUACCAUACAUAACAUUCUAAAAUUUUUUACUAACUUGCCCAAGCAUAGGUAAUCUCGAUGUCAUAUGAUAGGUAAUAAUGAUUGACACAUAAUGACAUUCAAUAUUACACUAACGAUAAAUAGUAAACAACAUUGUAAUAUGAUCUCGAUAUAUAUAAAUUUUUUUUUAAUAACAAUCAUAUUAAGUAGUUUGAAACUAAAGUUUUUAACUGACUUAUUUCUAUUAGUAAUUUCAUAGUUUAUGUAAUCUACAUGAACAUUUAAUAUUAGGCGCGAAACCCAUUUUAUUCUUCCCUUUUUGUUUUGACAACUCAUGUAUGUAUGUAUGUAUCAUGUUUUUCUUUCUUUUCUUUUUCAAGAAAAAAAAAGAGCAAAAUUUGAAUCUUAAUCCUCUUGUUUUCAGCCUACAAAAUGUUACCAUUUUAACUAGAUGAUGCCCAUGAAUUACAAGAUGUUACCAUUUGCACACUCUUAAAUUACUAGUACUUCUUAAAAUACAGCAUUAGCAUUUAUCAAAGUAUAAUGCUUUUAGAUCUCCAUAUGUUUUCACUAACUAUUGUUUAAAGUAUUAUAUAUUUUAAAUUACUAUUAAUAAUUUUCGAAGAAAUUGCACAAACAUUAUGUAUUAUUCAUUUAUCUGUUGAUAAGAUGGUUAAAUAAAUAAUUUUAUAGGUUGCAAAUUUUAUCAUUUAAUAGAUGGAUGACACUUCACUUGAAAUGAGGCUCCUAAGAAAUAUAUUACUUAUGAAGCAUAAAUUAUUUGUAAAAGAAAUUAAAAUUAGCUUGAUUCAAAAACUUGAUUAGUUUCGUUGUAUAUAUAAUUUGGGGAGAUUGUCAAUUUUUAUCCCUAAUAUUUUUACUUUUUCCUCUUACUCUUAAAAGGCUUUCAACUUUAAUGAACAAAUAUGGUUGUUUUGUGGCUGCGAAAGGUUUUUCUAUGAGGAUUGUUUAAUGUAUCACAAAUAUUUUGUCAUCGUUAUUUUAUCUCAUGAAUCUUUUUUUUUUGUGUGUCUUCAACUUUGGAAAAAUUAAAUAACAGUGACAAAAUUAAAGGGUUUUAAAUUGAAAUAUCUAAAACAAAAAAUAAUAAUUGUAAGCCUACAUGUUGCUAUAUUUUAUUGUUUUAAAUUAUUUAGAAUUUAUCAAAAGUAAAAACUAAUUAAAAUUCGAAAGAAAAAAAGAGGUCUGAGAUUUGCGGUUGAAGGAAAUUUUAAUUUUUUAAAAGAAUGAGUUGGGCUUUAUUCUGCUGUACCGUACAUCCGCCUUGGCCGUACAGCAGGCGCAUAUGAGCUUCCAUUAUUUGAUGUUUGGUCCCCGUAUCUGUAAGGAUUUGCAGUAUCUAAUUGCUUGGAUAAUUAAUUAAUUAAAUAGUUUCUUUCUUUUUUAAAGCAGAAAUUCCAUAUCUCUUGUGUGUUUUGUUAUCAACAAAAUUUUUUAUCAACUUCUCCGAUGCAUUGAAUUGGAAAAAAUCUAAACUAUAGAAAUUGUUGUCAUCAAAAAUCAGGAUUUAUUUGUGUUCAUGAUGAACACUUUGCAUAUAUGCACAUAACUUUGUUUAAAUUAAAAAAAAAAUCCACUUUAUUUGUUAUUAUGAUCUUGAUUCUAUGGGUUAUUGAUCUCCAUAAGAGUUUUAGACCAAGUCUGCUGUGUGUCAUUUGAAACCUUCUCUUGUCCAAUAAAAGCUGACCAGUUGUCGGUCCGAGCAUCGGCAAGAACCCAUGUAACUUCUUCAGGCCGGUUUUUAAAGUCAAAUUUAAUACGUUUAGCUUUAGCACCAAUCUUCCUCCCCCUCUUUGGCUGUUGGCUACUUGAUUGAGGGUCAGGGUUAGAGCUCCCAGCAGCAUCCUGCGUGUAUAUGUAUACUCAAGGAUGUUACAUCGAAUAUAAGAAAAUUGAAAACAACAAUUUAAAUACUAGCCAAAGAUGAGAUGUGAUUUUGAAAGCUCACUCACAUUGGUAAGGCCAACUACUGGUGGUGUCUCAAGCUUUUUCCGGUCAUUUUCUUGCAAUGCGUUAGGAGUAAUUGGAUUAAUAUUUUGUCCCUUUGACAGUAAGUGCUUCUCGACUUCUUUAAAUGAUCUGAACUGCUUGUUUGUCCCCGGCUCAUAGUAGAACUGCACAUUCAUUUGAAACACAGUCAGCAAUCAGGCGCACCACAUGCUUUUGAAAUAAAUUUCUGUAACUAUACAUUUGAGCUAUUAAUUGAAAAAUACUCAGUACAUAAUAAUUAAUUAAAAUUAAUAAACAUGUCCCACAGAGUUAUAAACAACAUGCAAUUUCAGCAUACUGCAGCUCUCUAAUUUGAAAGUUAACUUUCAAAGCUAUGAAAACCUAGAUAAGAAGAAAUUGAGUGUUGGAGCAACCUGGUCAAUUUUUCCUUUGUAAUUAGCGUGGGUUCUUUGCCUCUGCUCGAACAUCCACCCUUCAGGCAAUCCAAUUCUUCUGCCGUCUAUCAGUGGACCUCUAGGGCCUUUUCCCCUUCUCGGCUUUUGAUCAAGAGCAGGCACCAUCCUCAAAGGCACAGCGUCAAUGAUCUGAAGCUCAUUGGGCGGAAUCAAAGUGUUAGUUUCUUCGGCUUUCGUCAUCUGCAAAAUGCAACAAAAAAAGAAAAAAGAGAAACCCAAAUAAAUAUACAAUUACAGAGAAAAUUGACUUAUCAUGGUGGUGAUAAAAGUGAAGAAAUGAAAUCUUUUGUGUCGUUUGAUUUAGUGGGUGCAUGUACGACCUGGGGGAAUAGAGAGAGUGAAUUACUUUUUUUUAUGGCAAAUACAUGUAACUAUCAGUCCUUGAGUGUUAGGUAUUGUGUAAGAAAAACAAAAUAAAUUAUACCUAGGAGGUUAUAUAAGUUUAUAACAUGCAAUGACUUUUAAGGCAAAAAAAAAAAAGUUUAUGUAUGGCUGAAAUAAACCUAUCUCUUCUAGAUUAAUUUAUGCAUGCAUGUUAAAAUAGAAACUUGUGGGUACUAAUCCUAUCAUUAAUUUGAAAGGGACAUAAGAAUAUUGUUGAUAAAGAAUGUAGUAGUGUUAGGUGGUCUUGGACAUCUCCCAACUCCAAAAGUUAGUUCAAGAGGUAAGGUAUUCCCUCAUAGUUAUAAAUUCACUAUUAGACCCAUCCGCAAUCGACGUGGGAUAACCUCAACAAUCUCCUCCUUCCACAUUGGGCUUUGGGUUAAAAGCAUAGAUAUUCGUUCUUCCGAUUAGAUUGUUGGUGAACCUGGACUCUGAUGCCGAUAUUAGGUGGUCUUGGGUCUUUCUCAACUCCAAAAGUUAUCUCAAGAGAUAAAGCUUUCUCCCACAUUUAUAAAGUCACUACCAGCCCCUUUCACAAUCAAUAUGGGAUAACCCCAACAAGUAGCAAUUGUAACUUUAUCUAAUUAAAAUGAAUAAAACUUUUGAAAGAAAUAGAAUUAAUAUUAAUUUGAAAGCAACUUAGGAAUAUUGUUAAUAAAGAGUGUAGUAGCAAUUGUAAGUUUAUCUAGUUAGAAUAAAUAAAACUUUUGAACGAAAAAGAAUUAAUAAGAAGAUUCUCUUAUAAUGAAAACCUUAAAGAAAAAGGAUAAGUUAAAUACACGUUUAUUUUUACCUUUCUAAUUGUAUGAGAUUUAUACAGUUUUUUUUCAUAUAAAAAUAACAUUAACAGUUAAAUCUCAUAGAUAUCUUAUGUUUCACUGGUAUUAACUCUUAGAUUGUCCAUUUCACAUAAUAAUUAGUAGUAAAGUUACAUUUAAGUAAUUCAUCUCUAAAGAAAAUAUUAAUUUCAUAUUUAUGUUCCCAAUCAUAUUGGCUAUCAUAGUUCAUAAUUUCUUUUUGCAGCAAUAAACAAUUAACAAAUAACUAUAUAUUGUAAAUUAUGAAUCUACAUGAACUAACAAUAAAUUGACUCCUACCAUACAUAACAUUCUACAAUUUUUAACUAACUUGCCCAAGCAUAGUUAAUCUCGAUGUCAUAUAACAAGUAAUGAUUGACACAAAAUGACAUUCAAUCUUACACUAACGAUAAAUAGUAAACAAUAUUGUCAUAUGAUCUCAACUUAUAUACAAUUUUUUUUUGUAACAAUUAUAUUAAGUAGAUUUUAACUAACCUAUUUUUCUAGUAAUUUCUUAAUUUAUGUAUUCUACGUGCACAUCUAAUAUUAGGUGCGAAACCUAUUUUAUUCUUUCCUUUUUUGUUUUGACUACGCAUGUAUGUAUCAUGUUUCUUUUUCAUCUUUUCAAGAAAAAACGCACGAAAUCACAUUUACACUCUGUGCCCCCCAUUGACCCAAAAGGAAACUUGAGAUCCAUAAAUCAGUUUGCUAUUGGAAAAGAAAAAACGCGCGAAAUCACAUUUACGCUCUAUACCCCCUUCUGACCCUCAAAAAAAAAAACUUGAGAUCCAUAAAUUAGUUUGCUAAUGAAAAACAAUUAAUCACAUUUAUGCAUAUAGCUCAGUAUUAAUUAUUGACAAUAAAAAAAGUCUAUAAAUAGUUACAGAGACAACGAUAACAUGCCGCAUCUUGCAAUCCAUCUGUUGCUACACGUGAUGGAAGAGGCUGCAAUUCAUAAUUAUCCUUUAAUUAGUGUUCAUUGAUGGAAGCUAAAAAAGUCUACAAUAUAUGCAGGGUAGAUUAAGAGAUUACUUAAUAACCUGAAAUUGAAUUGAUAGAGAGUGGAAUUUGGAUAGAGAUAUAAUGUUCAGUAGGUUCAAAAAGAAAGCAAUCAGGAUGAAUCAUGAAUAAGAAUUUGUUGUCAUCGAGGAUAUUGUCGAUUUAUUUAUUUAUUUUUUGUUUUUUUUUUGUUUUAAGGAAUUUGUCCAUUUCUCGCGCCAUAUGUCUCCUAAAAUGUCGGGACUAGAAAAAAUGACGGUAAUUUAUUUAAAUUAACCAAUGAAUGAGAGAAUCAUACUGCGGAACUAAUAUGACUAAUAAUCAAAUAAAGCUUACAUGAACGAGAGAAUCAUGUACCUUAAUUCUUUAUUCCUCAAUUGUUGUUCUCGGGUUAAUUCACAAACUUUUAAAACUUAGUAAAAUUGUUAAAUUAAAAAAAAAUGUUAAUUAAGCAAAAUUACAUCAGAUAUGUGCCUCAAGCCAUCUAAUUUGUUGAUGAUCUUAUUAGAGAAUCAAGAAAAUGUCAUAUAGAAAGGGGAUCAUGAUCCUCUCUUGAUUUGAGCGCUCUAGAUCUUUUAAAGAUCUUAUGCCACAUGUGUUUUAGUGUUAGUGAAUGAUUGAGAUUUAACUACUUUUUCUUUUUAAUUUAUUAACCACCAAUUAUAUUAACAAAAUUUACUCAGAUAAAGAUCAGAUCAGGAGAGGAUCCCGAUUCAUAGCAAGGAUAUGAGCCCCAUCGGUCAUUUGCUUUGAUGCCAAUGUCGGUAUUGAUGAUGAGGCCUUCAUGUCUCUAGUUUUCCAACCAAUUAACCUUGGAAAUUAAGAAAGAGAGGUGGAUAGAGAGAGGAAACAGAUCUAGUGAGUGUCAAAUAAAUUGGCUUAUUGUUGUGUCCUUUUUAUUGCAUGCAAAAUUUGGCAAUGUUUGCACAUUUGGCAAGUAAAGGUGGAUGAGAUUCAGGUGGGAAAAUUUGCUAAAGCAACGGCUACGCUCAUCAUUAUGGUCCAAAUUAAGUUUAUAUAGGCAUUAUGCUAUAAUUUUAUCUAGGCAGACCCCUUUUUUUUUCCCCUGUUUUGAAAUACUGUAGGAUUUAGUAGUCAUUUUACUGUAAGGAUUUACAGUAUCUAAUUGCUUGCAUAAUUAAUUAAUUAAAUAGUUUCUUUCUUUUUUAAAGUAGGAAUUCCAUAUCUCUUGUGUUUUUUUAAUUAACAAAAAUUUUUAUCAACUUCUCCGCUGGUUUGAGUAGGAAAAAAUCUAAAGUCUAGAAAUUGUUAUUAUCAUGGGUUUUAUCACUGCUGUUUGUGAAAAUAAGUUAACUCAUCUGUCAAAAGUUUCAAAAUCUCUUUGCCUCAAUGAUCUUUAAUUACAAUUUGUAUAAGGUGCUUUAAAUUUACUAAAUAAGAGAAAUUCUAGAAUACUUCUAAAGUAUUGCAACCAAUUGAUGCAUGCACGAUAUGUGUAAUUAAUUUUAAUAUAACCACCACUUAUAUAAUGAUUUUUUAAAAUAAAUGUACACAUUCUGAAGAAUUUGAAAGAUAAAACACAAAUUUUUAUUGAAGAAACCUCAAGGAUAAAACACAAUUCAUACUCUCAGAGGCUUACUUAUGUUUUGCUUCUCCUUAGAUUUGAUGCAUAAACCAAAGGGAAGAGGGGGUAUAUAUAACUAAAACAAACCAAUCAUAAUCAUUCAUUUAUUCAACUACCACACAAAUCCUCACUGUUUAUCAAAACCUACCAUUCACCUACUACACCAACCACACCAAUCUUACUUAUCACCCAAGCUCAUCUAACACCUCCCCUUAAACUGGUUUUAUAACACCCAAUAAAUUUUUUAACCUGAAGAAAUCUUCUUGCUUUAGUGGCUUGGUGAGAAUGUCAGCAAUUUGAUUAUGUGAUUUGACAUACUUGUAUUUCAUUUUUUCUAAUGCACUCUUGUAUGAAAUGAUAACGAGUAUCGAUAUGUUUGCUUUGAUCAUUGAAGAUUGGUUAGAGCAAUUACUGGUUUGUUAUAGACACAAAUCUUAGUUGGAUCUACUUCUUCACCUUCAUCAUGUUUGGAUAACUUGACUUCGUAUUCGACUGGCGUGCUUAUAGGCUUGCAAUCAUUCAUCUUGAACUUCUUGAUAAUCUCUUCUGCAUAGCUUUCUUGGGAGAUAAAUAUGCCUUUUUUUUCUAACUUGACUUCAAUGUCGAGGUAAUGUGCUAUCAAUCCGAUGUUAGUCAUCUCAAACUCUUUAAUCAUCACUCUCUUAAACUCUUCAAAUAAGCUUAUAUUACUUCUAUUAAAGAUGAGAUCAUCCCUAUACAUGCACAUGAUUAAAAUGUCUUUAUCAUUUUCUUUGACAUAGAGAGCAUGUUCAUAUGGGCAUUUGGUGCAGUCGUUCUUUUGAAAAUACUUGCCAAUUCUAUUAUUCCAUGCCUUUGGUGCUUUUUUUUAGCCCAUAAAGAGUUUUCUUCAAUAUCAGAACUUUGUGUUCGUAUCCUUUCACAUAUAGCCUAAUAGUUGUUCGAUAUAGACUUCCUUUUUAAAGAAUCUAUUUAAGAAAGCACACUUCACGUCUGUUUGAAGAAUCAUCCAUUUUUUCUGAGCAGCCAAAAAAAUAAUAGUUUCAAGUCAGGCUACAAGAGAAAAUACCUCAUUGUAAUUAUUGCUAGUUUUUUUACUAUCGCCUUUUGCAAUUGUCCUUACUUUGUCCCUUUCAAUUUCUCCUUUGGCAUUUCUCUUCGUUUUGUAUACCCAUUAGACACCGAUCGCCUUAUAACCUUUAAUAAGAGUAGUAAGUUCCUAAGUGUCAUUCUUUACAAUGGCUUUGAUUUUUUUCAUCUAUUGCGAUUCUCUAUUUCUCAUCUUGUACAGUUUCUUGGAAGUUGAUUGGCUCAUAAUUAGCAAAGAGACAAAAAAGAAUGAGAUUAUCAAGUCUCUUCAUUACCUCAUAGAGAUCUUGUAAAUUUCUUGUGCGCGUCCUAUCUCUCUUUUCUAAAAAUGCUGGUGAUGAGUCUCCAUAAGUGCUUAUUAUUGGUAAAUUAAAUUAAGUUAUGGGUUCUUGUUGUUCUCCUGCUUGCUGCUUUGAUGUUUGCACGUCUUAUUUAAAGGGAUAAAAGUUAAAGUCACAAGCAUUACAGCCAAAAUCUCACUCUCAUUCUUCAUUAAAAAUUACAUAUUUGCUGAUCAAUCUUUCCAUUGUUUGGAUUGUACAGUUUGUAUCAUUUGGAUUUGUUAUCAUAGCGAAUGAAGAUAAACUUCUCGCUUUUGUCAUCUAGCUUAGUUCAUUUCUCGUCUUUUCUCUUUUGGUGCAUGUACAUGAGCUAUGCUUUUGAAAACUCUUAGAUGUGAGAUGCCUGGCUUUUUGCCACUCCAUACUUUUUGUGGUGUCUUGCCCCAUACAUUUCUUAUUGGAGAUCUAUUAGAUAGGUGGACUGCAUAUGCAAAAACUUUUGCCUAAAACUCUUUAGGCAAUCUGUUAUAGUGCAAUUUAUGCACUAGUUUUGCAUUGUUUACUUCCCUUAAUUCGAUAUUUUGCACUUAAUAAUAGUGAUUUACUUGUGUUUUACUUUUGUAGGUGUAAUUCUAUUGAUUAGCGAUAAAAUUGAACUACAAGAUGAUGUUUAAGGAUGAUUGUUCUCUUGGAGAAAUUAUGAGCGUCAGAAGAACUUUGUUGAUAAGGCGUGGGCGCGUGCUGUCAACUAUAGACCUGCAGUUUUUAGUUUAACAUGUUUUGUAUUUUUAGUUAUUUUUGUAAUCACGAAUUUAAUAUUUCAAAUAUCAGUAUUUUAUUUUAAAUAGAACUUUAGAGGAGAAGAGAGAGAGAGUAUUUAAGGGAGGAAUCUAUUAUGAAAAAGGGGGAUUGGCAAAAAGAAAAAAACCCUAGAUUUAAAUUUUUCUCUUCUCUCUAUGAAGAACUAAAUCUAUUAUUCUGGUUGAAGGUUAAUGAAGCUUUGAUUCAUCACUAUAGUGAGAUCUUUCUUAUAUUUUAAUUGUUUUAUUACUUUUUGGGUAUUUGUUUAUGCUCUGAAUUAUUUUCAUGAUUAUGUUUGUUAAUAAGGUAAUUGGCCACUAUUUAAUUAUCAACUUAAUCUAUUGACAAUUAAAGGAUUCAUCGUAUGAAGAUUUUAAUGUUGGUGAUAAAUAGCAUAGCAGUGAGUUGUGUUAUGAGAAUAAACAAUCUAAUUUAAAUGAAUCAUCGUGUGCGUUUGUUGAUUAGGAUUUGGGUCUCUCUGAUUUUUCAGGCUAUCAAUUGAUUAAAUCCUAUGAUCGUAUUUAGGGUUGUCUAUUAAUUAAGGAAAUAACCAACGAUCGUACCUUAGUUAUCGACUAGUUAAGAAGAGAUUGGCUAUUAGAGGGUCUCAGUAGCUAUAACCGAUUUAUUCAUAAGUAGUAAUAAUUUAUAUUUGAAUCAAUGAUCAGUAGUCGAAUCAAGCUGAGUUAAUUCCUUCAACCAGAGCUUUCUCCAAUUUGAAUUACAACUUUAAUUUGCAUUCUUGUUAUUUUAAUUUGAUUUUUAUUAUUGUCAACAAUUCCCCCAUUUUACGUUUUACAUUUUAAAAGGAUUUAAAUAAUUACCGAUAUAUGUGGACACGACCCUGCUCAAUCACUAUACACAAUUUAUUUAGAGCAGGUAUUUAUUUUUGCUGGCUUCAACAACCAUCACAAUCUUUUGCUUUUGAGCAUGUUCUUGCCAUAUCGAGGAUAAUUAUAUUCUUCUUUUCCACCAUACCAUUUUGUUAGAAGGAUUAAGGAACUGUCAAAGGGCAUCGAAUUCUAUUUGCUUUGCAAAACUCUAGGAAUUUUUUGGAAAUGAAUUCUCCUCCUCGAUUAGAUCUUAUGACUUUAAGUUGGUAUCCACUUUCUUUCUCGACUGUAGCUUUGAACCUCUUGAAAGUUGUAAAAACUUUUAACUUUUGCUUUAAAAAAACACUUAAGUUUUUCUUAAAAAAUCAUCAAUAAAAAAAGAAAUUAGAUAUUUUUACUGAGAGCGAUUGGCUUAAUUGAUCUGUUCACAUCAAUAUGAAUAAGCUUGAGUGGCUUCUGGGCUUUUGAGUUUGACUUCUUUGGAAAGUUUUUCCUAAACUACUUGUCAAGUAAACACCCUUUACAAAGUUGAUUGGACGAUUAAUUGAAGGUAUGCAUUUUACCAUGUUCUUUUUUUUUUAAUGGUUGCUCUAAUCCUCUAAAGCUGAGAUAUCCAUAUCGAAGAUGCCAAAUCCAAGAUGAAUCUUUGUGACAAGCUUUGAUACAUGUUGGGUAAUUUUUAUUGCUAUAGAUUUCAAUGUACAAGUCUAAACAACAACUAAUAUACUGAUGAGUAUUCAGUUGCUAUAGGUGUUUGAUGAAUGAAACACAAAUUUUUAUUAAAGAAAGUCAUCUGGACUUGUAUCUUGUAUGGUAUAAUUGACUGGAAAUAUUUUUUUCUUUAAUUUUAAUUGUUAACUAAGGACAAGAUGGGCAUUUUAAUUUACCAAACAGGACCCUGGGAUAGAGAACAACCCGUAUCUGGGCUUUGUUUACACAUCGUUUCAAGAGCGCGCCACUUUCAUAUCACACGGCAACACGGCCCGCCUGGCGAAAGAGGGAGGUGAUCCAGUGCUCGCGCGCAUAUGUGGAACCAUUGCAUCAGAUGACAAGCGCCACGAAAACGCCUUCGCUAGGAUCGUCGAAAAGCUCCUUGAAGUGGACCCCACGGGCAUGGCCGCUCACUUGAUGUACGAUGGGCAUGACCCACAGCUGUUUGCGCAUUUUGCGAUAGUGGCUCAGCAGCUUGGCGUGAAUACGGCACAUGACUGCGGAUAUUUUAGAGUUUUUGAUUGGACAGUGGGGAUUGGAGAAGCUGGAAGGGUUGACGGGUGAAGGGAGACGUGCACAAGAGUUUGUGUGCGGCUUAGCGCCUAGGAUUAGGCGACUGCAGGGGUUAGCCGAUCAGCAAGCCAAGAAGCUGAAGCUGUCUCGCGUUAAGUUUAGCUGGAUUUUUAAUAGGAAACUCAGCCUGUAAAAAUUAAAAAUUAAAAACCCCAAAAAAAAAAAAAAUUCUUUUACAAUGUAUUUCCCUAAUGUUAUGCAUACAUCAUGGUACUUUUUAGCAUAUAUAGAAUGUAAUCAAACUUAAUUAAGAUCUUGGGUGAAAAUUCUAGUUUUCAUUUUACUUUCUUAGUUUCUGAUAAUGCUUGAUUUCAUCAUAACACGCAGGUACAUAUAUUCUAAUCGACUCGUUGAGCCCGGGUUUGCUCCUUGACCAUCACUCCCUCAUAUGUCCAUGGUUGCACUCCUUCUUCUUCCUUUAAUUUGCUCUAUUGACGGCAUCUUUUCGUUUAGCUCCCCACAAACGAUGCCAAAAUAUUGAUGCAACAUUCUAGUUGAGCUUUAUAGCGACCAAGAAACCACUUCAACACCUAAAUUUAUAAGUGAUAGGGGGCGAUUUUGAGCUGUUUCCUCUCCUAAUGAACAAGAUCUUGGGGCUUCGAGCUUCUUAUAAAAAAAACUCCUACACACACAAUCACCCAGUCAUAGGAUACUGAAGAUUUUUCUGGUGUAAACCCUCUGACUCUCAAGUUAUCGAUCUGGGCUUAUUUUAGAACAACUAUACCACCAAUCCUAUGGCUUAAUUAUAAUUUAAUUUUUUAAUUCUAGAAAGAUUUGCUUUUAAAACUCCAAGAAAUAUCAAAAAGAGAAACUAUAAAGUAAAGGGAAAUUAAGAUAUAGACGAGUUCAAUGUCUAAGUGUCUAACCCCAUUACCUUUAUCCAUUAUACUUUUUAUACCCAGCUUGAAUAUUCGGCCUCCGUCACCCUACAAUCGUUAUUGAAUCAUUUGUACCAUUGUGGGUAAAUAGGCGUCACAACCGUUGUUGAGUGGGUUUUGUGCCCGAACUCUCUAGAAGAAGUUCACAUGCUAAUAACUUCAAUUGACCAAGUAUUUUAUCCAACUCGACCAAGGUCUCUCCUCGUUCUCCCCUAUCUAGCUAUACUAGAGCAAUCAGCUAACAACUCCUUGAAAAUGAGCUUCCACGAGGAGUUACUUUUCGCCGAAGGAAGUUGUUGGGUGAUUUCUAUUGCUAUAGGUUUCAAUGUGCAAUUGUACACAAUAAGUAAUAUGCUGAUGAAUAUUCAGAUCGUCUCCACAAGGAUUGAUAUGAUCAGAUUUUGUACAACAAUCGUAACAAUAGAAUUUCAAUCUGAAUUAAAAUAGAAUAAUUAAUGAAACUAAGUAACUAACUAAAUUAUAAUAAAUCCAAUAAAUAAAAUACAAUAAAAAAAUUAGCCAAACACAAGGAUGUAAUUAACGGGGAAGGGAGUAGUUGAGUGAUUAAACUCAAUCAAUGGCAUUAGACUUUUUUUUUCAAUUAUAGUACCGUUACUAUAACAUCUACUACAGUACUGGGUAAAAUCUCUCAUGCAUCCUUAAUUGUCGCUUGUUGGAUACCUUAUACCUUAAUGCAACCUAACAGUAACCAAUUGUUAUGCUAUCAUUAGAUAUAACAUUAUACAUUCUAGGUUCUGUUUACUCUACAAGGUGAAUCUUUAUGUCUAGUUCUUCACUAAUUUUAGUCAAGUAUGACCCUAUUUAAAUAAAGAUUAACUCAACUUGGGAAACCCAAUCUAAAACCAUUUACUGUAUUAAUUUAUUCCACUAAGUCAGAUUUUUUUUAAAUUCCUUCUUAAAUAGUAUGCAUUAAAUGGGUGGUCAGCCAAAAUACGGAAUUGCAAUAAUUAAAAUUAAGACAAAUUGCUAUAACAAAUACAGAGCAAUACACAUAUGUCAGUCAAAUAACCAUUAAGCUUGUUUCUCAUUCAACCACAUCAAAGUUCAGUUAAUGAUUUAUGAUAAACUAGUAAAUAAAAUUGUUUUAGCCAUCAAGUACAUUCCCAUAAAUAAAUAAAAACAAGAAAAUAAGAAAAAUAAUUAAGCUCUCCUUAGUCUUGGUGAUUUCUCCUCCGUUUUCUCCUUGAAUCCUCUAUUGCAGCCCUUCAAUCUCUCUUAUUCUCUGUUUUCUUUUCGUUUUUCUCUGUUAUUUUUCUUUCUUUUCAUGCGCGCUCCUUUUAUAACUUGGAAUUAAGGCACUACAAGUAUAUGACGUGUAUCUUCCAUUUUUGGAAAUUUUAUAUUGCAAUCUUUUAGUUAUUGCGCACGAAAUCCAGUUUGUUAUUGCUCCAAGAUUGCUGCAGCAACGACUACAACAACUUCAGUCAUUCAAACUUGUUUUAUUCAUCUACAACUAAGUUAUUUUGUCAUCUUUGCAAGUCUGUUGCAGUAACAUUCCAUCCCCAAAACUUGAGCUUUUCGAUCACGUACAGUCAUGCACAUAAUCUAAGCACAUAAUGAUCUAAACCAAACUCAAUUCAUUAAAAAUAAACUAAAAUAGAUGCUAAUGCAAAAUAUAACUAAAAUACGAUAACAACACAUCAUUCACUUUCGAAAUAAUAUUUAUUUGAGUCUAAAAAUGUCACGAUAACACUUUACACCCCAAACAACUAUUUUUUAAGUUUAUUUGAAAAAUAUCUUGUAGAGGCCUUUAGUAACUUGAAGAAAUGCAUUUCAAAUAUUUUUUUAAUUGAUUAUCCGUAUUCAAAUCGUGGAAAAAGUAACAUGAUUAAAAUAUCAAUUUGGACUUUUUCUGAGGGAAAAAAAAAAAAGAAACUUGUGGAACACUCUUAAUUAUCAAUUUCUCUCUCCGGUCAUAAGAGCAAAAUUUGAAUCUUAAUCCUCUUGUUUUCAGCCUACAAAAUGUUACCAUUUUAACUAGAUGAUGCCCAUGAAUUACAAGAUGUUACCAUUUGCACACUCUUAAAUUACUAGUACUUCUUAAAAUACAGCAUUAGCAUUUAUCAAAGUAUAAUGCUUUUAGAUCUCCAUAUGUUUUCACUAACUAUUGUUUAAAGUAUUAUAUAUUUUAAAUUACUAUUAAUAAUUUUCGAAGAAAUUGCACAAACAUUAUGUAUUAUUCAUUUAUCUGUUGAUAAGAUGGUUAAAUAAAUAAUUUUAUAGGUUGCAAAUUUUAUCAUUUAAUAGAUGGAUGACACUUCACUUGAAAUGAGGCUCCUAAGAAAUAUAUUACUUAUGAAGCAUAAAUUAUUUGUAAAAGAAAUUAAAAUUAGCUUGAUUCAAAAACUUGAUUAGUUUCGUUGUAUAUAUAAUUUGGGGAGAUUGUCAAUUUUUAUCCCUAAUAUUUUUACUUUUUCCUCUUACUCUUAAAAGGCUUUCAACUUUAAUGAACAAAUAUGGUUGUUUUGUGGCUGCGAAAGGUUUUUCUAUGAGGAUUGUUUAAUGUAUCACAAAUAUUUUGUCAUCGUUAUUUUAUCUCAUGAAUCUUUUUUUUUUGUGUGUCUUCAACUUUGGAAAAAUUAAAUAACAGUGACAAAAUUAAAGGGUUUUAAAUUGAAAUAUCUAAAACAAAAAAUAAUAAUUGUAAGCCUACAUGUUGCUAUAUUUUAUUGUUUUAAAUUAUUUAGAAUUUAUCAAAAGUAAAAACUAAUUAAAAUUCGAAAGAAAAAAAGAGGUCUGAGAUUUGCGGUUGAAGGAAAUUUUAAUUUUUUAAAAGAAUGAGUUGGGCUUUAUUAGACUUAUACAUGUCCUUAAAUCUAAGUCUCUCUAAUAAUUAAACUAUGAAUACAACAGUAAGGCGUUUGACAAGGAUAAUGAUGGGGUGCUAAUAGCUCUACGUAAACAUUUUAUCUUCCAUUUAUUUGGGCUCAAACAUUCCGGCCGGUAUCUAUUUAAACCUCUCUCCCACGGCAACCAUGAAAACAGUUAUCCCUCCCUAUAUUCUGGUCUCUCCAAAAAAUCAUAAUUAAAAUUUUUAUUAUCUCCCGACUCCUCUAUCUCAACAUAUGUCCUCACCCACUCGCAACACACACUCAUCCACAACACAAUUUUUUUCUUUUUCAAGUUUUAAUUUAACGGUACCUCAAUAUCCUCCCUAUCCAUGUAAGCGGAAUUGCGGAUCUUUUUUUUUUUUUGAUACAAUGGAGCCUAGUAAAGAUUAGGACAAAACAGAGCAGGGAAUAGUAUUCCCAUAGAUAUCAUUACAUAACCAAUAUCCAAUACCCUCUGGUGGGUUAUCAAAAUCAUGAAAAUCGAGAGGUAAAAAUCCUACCAACUUGGCCAUGAAAUCAGCAGCAAAAUUAGCUUUCCGAUAUAUAUGUUUUAUUGUAAUUUGCCAAUCUCUAUUCAUCAACUCCUUGAUGGCAUUGAUAAGUGAAAGAUGUGCAUUAGGCUUUGUUCUUGUGGAAGAGAUAAGUUGAAAGAUACAUUGGCUGUCCACCUCUGCCACCAAGUAACGGAUACCCCGAUCCCACGCAAGAUGAAGACCUUGAAACAAAACCCAUAAUUCAGCAGAAGUCACCGAACAAAGACCAGUGUUCAUGCCAUAUCCAAAUUGCCACUUGCCAGAGCAGUCCCUCACCAAUCCUCCAACACUUGCCAAACCAUUUUUUAAUCGAGAACCAUCUGUAUUCAAUUUGAAAAAGGAUUCCGAGGGAGCUUGCCAGCCAAUUUCUUUGAUGAUUUUACUAGUACGAACAACAUUGAGACCUGCUCUUGCAAUAUGGAUAUCAUGAACCCACGAUCUAAUUUCCGUGACCAUCUGAGUGCAGCAAGAGGCAUUGUGUGUGAAGAUAAAUUGGUUGCACCAGAACCAAAUUUUCCAAACAGCAACGCCAAAUAAGCAGGCCCAUUCAUCCACAACCUUAUUGAUACCAACCUUGCCCAAGUUAAAGCAUAACCAGUCACGGAGAUGAAGAGAGAAAAAGGAUUGCUUGAGCAUAUCUGGAGCCAAAUGAUUCCAAAUUUUUUUUGCCACAACACAAUCACGAAGAGCAUGGAUUACAUCUUCCUUUUCCUUUCCACAAUAUUCACAAUCCAUAGAAAUUUGGAUGUGCCUCUUAAAUAGCUCCUCUUUUGUUUUAAUUCUUCCAUGCAUUACCAACCACAAGAAAAUGCGAAUCCUCUGGGGUCAUUUCCAAUGCCAAAUCAAUUUCCAUAUAUGGGCAUCAUUAUUGGAGAUUGGAUUAUUAAGGGAGAUAUAAGCUGACUUAGAUGUGAACUUGCCUGAUUUUGAGUGAACCCAAAAAGGUUGAUCCUCGUUGUUGUCAUCCGAAGGUGGUUUGAUUGCUACAAUCUGGAGAAGAAUCUGGUUGGGAAGAAAAUGACCAAACAUACUCCAAUUCCAAUUUCCCUUAAUAUCCACAAAAUCCGCCACACAUUUAUUCUUCAAUUCAUCCGGUAAUUGAGUUAUAGUAUGAUUAGCAAUGAGAAGCUCUUCCGAAACCCAACUUUGAUGCCAAAAAUUUACCUUAUUCCCUUUUCCAAUCGACCAUCUCGUGCCCUGCAACACAUACCCCCAUAUUCUGCUUAUGCCUUUCCAGAGAUAAGAGCCGCGUUUAUUCUCAAGCUUGGAGGGAAUAAAAUCUGAACAAGCCCAUAUUUUGAUCUCAAAACCCGAAUCCAGUGACUGUGAGUAGAGGUUAGCACAUUCCAUCCAAUUUUCAUGAGGAGAACAUUGUUCAUGUUUGUAAGAUUUUUAAAACCUAGACCACCUUCAGCUUUUGGAGAACAUAUCAUUUUCCAAUUAAUCAAACUGAGUUUAUGGCUUCCAUUCUUGCUCCCCCAAAUAAAUCUUUGAGAAAUCCGAUCAAUUUUAUCCAAAAUUCCAUGAGGGAUCCUUGUUGUUUGCAUGGAAAAAAUGGGGAUCGCUUGAAUUACCGAUUGAGCUAGAGUAAUUCUCCCAGCAAGGAAGAGAUGCAUUGCAUUCUAUCCAAACAGAUUUUUAUCAACAUUAUCCACAAUUUCUUAAUAAGUGGCUUUUGUCACUCUAUUGUGAAGUAAAGGCAUUCCAAGAUAUUUUCCAAGAUUAUCCGUAGCGGUAAAUCCCAAUGAAUCACUGAUUUUCCUUGCCUUUUCUGCAAUAACAUUCUUUGAGAAAUAAACUCGAGUAUUCUGUUUGCUAAUCAACUCUCCCAAAAAUAUUCAGCACAUUAUUGAUCACAUGGGCUUGGUUGCAAGAAGCCUCGGUGAGAAGAAGUAGGUCAUCUGCAAAAAAGAGGUGAGUAAGAGGAACAUCAUUUCUCGAGAGACGUAUAGGACACCAAUUUCCAUUUCAUACUGCCAAAUUAAUUGCAUGACUAAAGCGCUCGAUACAUAGAGCAAAAAUAUAAGGAGAAAGAAGGUCACCCUGUCGGAUUCCCCUAAACGGAGUGAAUUCUUCAGUGAUCUCCCCUUCCUAUAAAAUUUGCAUUCUAGCCGUAGUAAUGCACUCCAUUGUAAUUCGAAUAAACUCUUUAGGCAGUCCAACAUCCUUAAGAGUAUCAUGAAUGAAGUCCCAACUAAGCCGAUCAUAAGCUUUCUCAAGGUCCACUUUGAUAGCCAUCUGCCCGAUUUUUCCUUUUUUGUUUCUCAUGGUGUGGAUAAUUUCUUGCGCCAUCACAAUAUUCUCUAUAAUUUGCCUUCCGGGAACAAAGCUUGUCUGGGUUGGUCUGAUCAACUCCGGUAGAAUUCCUUUUAACCUAUUUGCCAAAAUUUUUGUAACAGUUUUAUACAUCACUAGACAUAGGCUAAUGGGACAGAACAUCCUCAAGUUGGUGGGGUUGUUUGUUUUUGGGAUAAGAACAAUAAGGGUCUUAUUAAGCUCUGGAGGGAGGGGAUUGCCUUUAAAAAUAUUGCUCACAAGUUCACAAAUUGAUGAGCCCACCACAUCCCAUUGCGACUGGUAGAAGAGACCAUGAAGGCCAUCAAUUCCAGGAGCUUUUAGAGGGUUCAUUCUGAAAAUUGUAGCUUUAAUUUCCUCGUUAAGAAUAGUUCUGCUAAGAUCAACUAAACUGUACUCAUCAAUUCUUGGAAAAGCAUUAGCAAUCGGGAAAUUAAAACUCACUUCAUCAUUAUAAGAAAAACGUUUAGAGAAAAAAUCAAUGGCAUGGGACUUGAUCUCUUCUUUGUUAUAAAUCUACGUACUCUUGCUGCUCUGGAUUGCAUCCACUCGGUUUCUCCUUUUUCUCGUUAUUGUUUUUCUGUGAAAAAAAGCAGUGUUUCUAUCCCCACAUGAAAUCCAUUCUCUCCUUGACUUUUGGUACCACAAUAACUCCUCCUUGGAUAGUAUAGUUUCAAGUUCCAUCUUCAAUUUGGACUCAAGCUCAAGAAGCCGGUUUGAAUCAAAUUUCUCCAGAGCAUGUUGAAUACCAUUUAAUCUUGCCAAUAAACACCUUUUCCUUUUAAAAAUGUUCCCAAAAUUCUCUUUAUUCCACACACUAACUUUAUCCACAAAGUCAUGAGCAGCCCGAAUAUAUCCCUUAGAGUUGCACUAUUCCUUAGCCACUAGAGAUUGGAAAGACUGGUCCGUCAACCGAGCUGCCAAGAAACGAAAAGGCCUAACAACAUUCAUUUUCUUCAAACUACGACCAAAUCUGACAAGAAUCGAACGGUGGUCAGAAUGAAUUUUUGGAAGAUGUAAAACUGAAGCUUCCAUAAAAGACACAUUCCACUGGUCAUUGCAUAUGGCUCGGUCUAAUCUUUUAAAGAGAGAUCCCCUUGACCAAGUGAAACAAGGCCCUUUAAAAUGUAUAUCCAUAAGCUGAUUAUCAUGAAACCAUUUGUUAAACAGUCUAUAAACACCAUUGCCUUUUUUUGAACCUCCUUUUUUCUCGGAAACAUGUAGGAUUGAGUUGAAGUCUCCACCUAGUAGCCAUGGUCUUGUAACUGAAUUAGCUACCAGGUCAAGAUUGCUCCAUAGCUCCCUCCUAAAAUUUGGGUUGGGGCUAGCAUAAACGGCAGUGACCCAUCAGAAAAAUCUGUGAUUUUAAAAUGAAUGUACUGCUUGUGAUUAAAAACAAACUCCAUCCUGAAUUCUUCUUUCCAUAAAAUCCAAAUACCCCUUGCAAAACCUUCAGCUUCCACUCGAUGCGAUAACUCAAAACCACUACGCUUAAUAAAGUUAUCAGCUUUAACUCCACUGAUUUUAGGUUCCAAAAUCGCAACAAUAUUAGAAUUGCGGAUCUUAAUCGUCUUGUUUUCAACCCACAAGAAAUUCUACUAAUUCAACUAAUUGGUACACCAAGUUACAUAAUCCAAAAAUAAGCCUCGUUGAAAAUUAACUAAUUAAACAUGAAUCCACGUCAUCUACUACCAAGCACACAUGCUAUGUUUGCUUUGCUUUUCAGUCAAUCACUCAGUGCAAUCCGUUUUGUGACUGGUUUUUCUUAAAAAAGUAUAUAAAAAUUUGCAAAAGUCUUAUUUUUCUUUUUUUUUUUAAAUUUGGUGACUGUCGAAUUUUAACUCAACAAUCAUACAAAAAAAAUUGGUUCUAGGACACUGUUCAGCGGCUCCUGAGUUGGUUUAAGGGCAGUCCUUUGUUGUAGGACACUGUUCAGCAGCUACCUUCUCCGUUUGAUACGCAAAAAGCUUUCUCACUCAUUUCGUUACUAACAAUUUAAGUUGACACCUCCUCCCUUUAAUUAAUAAAAAUGGAGCAUUUGAAUCGUCCCAUAAUUGAUGAUUAGCAAAAUUUUUCGGAGGAACAUAUCGGUAAUGCUACUACUUUGUCCGAGUAAAAUUGCCUGGACAAGCCAACAUUUCGGAGAGCAUUAUAACUUAAACAUAAACCCGUAGAUUAUCAAAAAAUUUGAUCAUUAAGUAAUUUAGUUUUAACAAUUAAAUCAUAGUAUCAUCAUGUCAUGUUACUUUGAGAUGAAAAUUUUUGUAUGAUUUUUUAUGGGAACUUUUUUUUUUUAAAGUUAAUUGAGGAAUAACCCCAACCAUAUAUAUGCUCUCAGGAGUGGUUGAUCGAGUGGUUUUUAAUAACACAACUACACCUGGUUAACAUUUGUUUAUCUUUAUCUCAUGUGGCAUCCUUCCUGGUGCACUUCACGCUACAUGUUACAUGUGCUGUACAUAGUCUCCACUUAAUGGAUUAUAGACUAUUGGGGCACUUUAUCUUGUAAGUGUUGAUAAUUGUGAUCUCUUUAGAAGUUUAUGACUUUAUCUGAUAAACACAAUCAUACGAUAAGAGCAAUCUUUACAGUUUGUAUCUAUAUUAAAAGACUCAGCUGUAUAAUGAUUAUUUAGCGAAUACAAGUUUCUUUCAUGGUAUUAGAGCUUAACCUCUACGGAGAUUUAGAAUCCUCACAAUGGCCAGCCAACAUUCCACAGCAACUUCAACCACACAAUUAGCAACUCAAAUCUCGGAGUGCAUCUCUAGCUAUCAACGCUGCUGCUCAACUUCCAAUUCGAUUGACACCCAACAACUGCUUUAAUUGGAGAGCUCGGUUUCUCUAGCUAGCUUUUGGCCAUGAUUUGAUAAAAUACAUGGAACACUUCCACAUCCUGAUCAAAUCUCAUCUUCAAGCUGCAGCACUGCCUCCAACACAAACCUAGAGUACUCCCUUAAAAAAACACAUUUAAUGCAAUUCUUACAUCCUCAACCGAAAAGAUAGCAUCCUUAGUUGCUAGUUGUUCAACAUCCAAGCAGGCUUGGGAAAAACUAGAAUGACUAUACUCUAGCAAAAGCAAAAGUAGAGUGUUCACACUCAAAGAAUGCUUGACUGGCCCUCAUGGAGAAAAUCAAACAAUUGCGGAUUAUUUGAAUAAUCUACUAUCCAUAGCUGAUGAGUUAACUCUAUUUGAUUCCCCCAUUAUAGAUGAUGAUAUUUCUGUUCAGAUGGUAAACAAUAUCGGGAAAGAGUUAAAAGAAAUCAUAGGUGGUGCCCGAACUCGAGAAACGUCUGUCACUUUUGAUGAAUUGUAUGACAAGCUUGUUGACUUUCAAGAGUAUCUAAAAAGAGAUGUAACACUUGCACAAACUCCUGCAGUCAACAUAAAAUUAAACCAAAAAUCGUUAUCCUAAUCGCAACACUUACCAAAAGCGUGUCUAACCUGCAUCACCCUUACUCACUCCACACACUUCCAAUCGACAUCAUACAAAUUCUAAUAACCAACCUACCCGAAAUUCCUUCUCUUGAACCCCAUGCCAUAUCUGAAGCUCUAAAAGAUCCUCUUUGGCUUGAGGCCAUGUAAAAGGCAUGGAAAAUGAUGUUUGCCCUGGGUCAAACCCCGGGGCAAACCCCGAAUAUAAACAAAACAAAAUCGUUUUGUUUGUUUGUUUGUUUUUCUUUUUCUUUUUUGCUUCUCCAAAACGCAAACGAAAAUUAUGUGGUUGUCUUUCAGCAACAAUCUCUUCAGGGAUCAUAUACGAGCACACGCGACACCAAUAGUUCCCAUCCACCUCGUUCCACAUACUGCAAUCCAUCAGCAAAAUAAAAAUCUACAAUCAAACCAAAUCAUAACAACCACAGCAAUGAAAUUCUAAAAACCUUUGAAUGUUAGCAGCCCACAAAUCACUCGAAAGGAGCUUCUCCCUCAUUGUGCUCACCCUCUUCUUCCCCUCCGGAGGCUUAAGUAACUCAAUCUUCUUCCCCAAUUUCCUCGCCUCGCAAAAUUCACAAACCCAUUCACCUUCAGGAACCUCCUUCAACGGCGGCUUCAAGCACUUCAAAUGAAACCCACCUAAGUAAUCAUCACACUCAAGCAUAACAUUCCUCCCUGCUCUAAAACAAAUCCUACACUCCUUCACCUCAGGAUCCUCUUCAUCCGAGCAUGCAUCCUCUCUCCUCUUCACAUACACAUCAUCUCCCACCUCAAAUUCACCCUCAUCAUACACCACUUUCUUAUAAUAAACCCUCAUCUUCUUUAAAUUCUCAACUUUGCCACUCUGCGUUUUCACCUUAGACCUUAUCACCACAGCAUCACCACUCCUCUCUUCGCUAUAGUCCUUUCUUUUUCUCUUCUUCCCCUCCGAUAAUUUAGGUGACAUCGGAGAAACCACCAACUCCUCCGAAUGCAACCCAUCUUUAGGCUUCAUUUUCGGGGUCUUAUUGCUCAAAACGUGAGAACGCAAAUGAGACAAAUCAAGAAUAUGAGAACUGAAAAAAUAAAUUCAAUGUUACAAUGUUACAAUGUUACAAUGUUGUAAAAAUACAGGGAAAAAUUAAAAAAAAUCAAAAAACAAAAUGUUGCAAAGAAGACAGUAUCGAAAAAAAAUUCAAGCUUCGAAAAUUCAAGCUUUCAGGCACAAUGUUAAUCUUGCUCUGCCGAAACUUCGCAACUGCUGUUGGUCUUGUUCCGUCGAAACUCAGCUUAGUAGCCGAAACUCAACUUUCAAUGACAAGUUUCGCAGCCGAAACUUAGCUGCUGUUGGUCUUGUUCUUCAAUAAAUGGGUGCGUUCUUUGUUAAUCACUUUCUUCAGUUCAACUUAAGACGAAGAGGAUGAAGCAUUCUGCUGUGGAUCCUGUUCUGCUGUGGAUCUCGGUCGAGGAUGGAAGAAACAAAAAAUAAACGAAGAAACGAAAAAGAAAACAACGCAAAAAAGAAAGCGGAGAAGCAAAAAAUUAAAAAAAAAAAAACAAAACAAAACGACACCGUUUUGUUUAUAUUCGAGGUUUGACCCGAGGCAAACAUCAGCACUCAAAAGGCAUACCAAGCACUUAUAACCAAUGACACGUGGGAAUUGGUUCCGCCGUCACGUUCGCUGUAAAUGGGUAUUCCAUGUCAAACGACACCUAAAUGGAACAACUGAUCAAUUUAAAGCUUGCUUGGUAGCGAAAGGAUUUCAUAAAUGGGCUGGCAUAGAUUUUCAUAUCACUUAGCCCUAUCAUGAAACACACCACCAUUUUGGUCAUUCUUUUCUUAACAUUACACAAUGGUUGGUCCUUGCAACAACUCGAAAUAAACAAUACCUUCUUAAGUGGCACUCUUGAUGAGGAAGUCAUUAAGAAAAAGCCUCCUGGUUUUGUUGAUACUCACCGUCGAAAUUUUGUGUGCAGGUUAAAGAAGUCAAUAUAUGUGGAUGACAGAAUUCAACAAAGCUGUUCAAAUGCUUCACUUUUCAUCUUCCAUCAUAAUGGGGUUUGUCUUAUAUUCCUAACCUAUGUGGACGACACAAUUCUCACUGGUAACAACAAUCUCGCCCUUGCCAAGUUCAUCCAUGCGCUUGGUAACACUUUUGCACUGAAAGAUCUCGGUAAUUUGCACUACUUUUUGGGAGUUGAGUUCAUCCAGACCUGUGAUGGGCUUUUUCUCUCACAAUAUUAUAUUUGAAUUUUGUUGCAAUGAUUUGACAUCUCUAAUGCUAAGCCUGUCUCAACAGCGCUGUCCUUUUCAACACCCUUAAAGAUCAAUGAUGGCUUGAACUUCGUGGAUGCUACAUUGUUUAGACAACUUAUUGGUGCUCUUCAAUAUGUUACUCUCACAUGUCCAUACAUAUGCUUUGUCGUAAACAAGCUCAACUCAGUUUCUUCGUCAACCAACAAAGCUCAAUUCGCAAGCGGAUAAGUGACUCAUAUGCUAUCCCAAGGAUACAAUUUUCUUUGGCCUCUUUUUUUGCUCACACUCCAAUACUUUGCUCACUGCCUACACUGACUCUGAUUGGGAUGACAACUUAGAUGAUCGCAGCUCAACCAGUGGCUAUGUCAUAUUCUUUUGUGGAAUCCAGUCUCACGAUCCUCCAAGACACAACGCUCCAUUGCAAGAUCAUCUACUGAAGCUAAAUUUCGGUCAAUUGCAAGCACUUUCUCUGAAAUUUGUUGGUUAUACAAUUUGUUGUUUGAACUUGCUGUCAAAAUUCCUAAACCUGUUCUCUACUGUGACAAUCUUGGAGCUACUUUUGUUUGCACCAAUCUUGUGUAUCAUUAAAAAAUAAAGCAUGUCGAAAUUGAUUUUUAUUUCAUCCGUGACAAGGUUGCAAAAAGGUUGUUGAGCAUUGUUCAUAUACCAUCCGAAAGCAGCUCGCUAACACACUCAUCAAAGCUCUUCCCCAUACUCCAUUUAUUGCUUCACGAUUCAAGUUAGGUGUUCACGACGGAAAGCCUAUCUUGUGGAGGCAUAAUAACACAACUACACCCGGUUAACAUUUUGUUUAUCUUAUGUGACAUCCUUCCUCAUGCACUUCACAAUACAUGUCACAUGCGAUGUACAAAGACUCCACUUAACAGACUAUAGACUACUUGGGAACAUUAUCUGAUAAGUGUUGAUAAUUGUAAUCUCUUUAGAAGUUUAUUACUUUAUUUAAUAAACACAAUCAGAGAAUAAGAGCAAUCUAUACAAUUUGUAUCUAUAUUAAAAGAUUCAGUUGUAUAACACUUAUUUAAUUAAUAUAAGUUUCUUUCAAGUUUUAAAUAAUUUUAUUUAAUUGGCCACUCAAAUUUGAGGCUUAGUGCGUGUAUCCAAGAUAAUACUUGAGAAGGUAGAAUGAUAGCUUUGUUGCCUCUUUAUGUUAACAGUAUGCCAGCUGAAAGGACUAAAGAGCCAAUUAGUGAAAAGAUUCCACAAGAUAAUAUACAGGGGGCCAAUGAGUUCACGCAAUUAUUAUGACACCAUUCAACCAAGUUAUGAGUGGUCAUUUUCUCCACUCGUUAACUUGUUUUUGCUACUUCUUAGAGAUUUCGUUUUUUUUCUAGUAUAUAUACUUUGUAGCACUUAUGAGAGUUCAUUAUUACAAAACAAUCUUUUUUCUCCCAUGGAAAUAAUUCAUUGUCUUAGUACGGUAAGAGUUCUCUUGGUUCCAGUGGUGGAUUUAGAAAAAUAAUUUACCAGGAACUAAAUUAAAUAACAACAAAAUGUAAAAACUGAAAUUUGAAUAUACAAAAUUUUUUAUAACACAUUUAUAAUUGUUCUCUACGUGAUUUCAUAUUCUGAAAACGUUGUGUAAUAGACUCAUUAUCAACACUAUUAUAUUACACACAUCUUUUUUUUACAUAAACAAUCAAAUUAUUAUUUAUCCAUUCAUCUCCCAUUUGAUUCCAAAGUUAAUUCUUUGCAAAUUUUAUUGCUAAAAAUGUUCUCCAUAUUCUGGUUGUAGAAACUAAAAGAAUGGGGCUAUUUGAUAAUUUGACAAGAAUUAUUUAAAAUUUAUUAAUUUUUCUUUUAAAUAAAAAGGGGUAAUAUUUUUUUUUCAGUGGGGGCUUGGGCCCCCACUGGUCCCACACUACAUCCGCCUCUGCUUGGUUCAUUGUUUGAUUCUCCCCUUUGUAAUGUCAACAGCCAACACUAGCAUUAUCACAUAUCAAGGUGCUCUUCUUUCCCUGAAAGCUUAUAUCACUCAUAACCCUAACAAUUUCUUAUCAAGAAAUUGGAACACUCCAUACCUAUUUUUUUGACCGGAUGGGGGUCAUAUUGGAAAGUAGAAUCCAUUUAUUCAUUAUAUUGAGCUAUAAGUAUAUCUUUUUAUAUGUAUUCUUAAAUUACAGUAGACUUUGAUUGCAUAGCUUAAUUAUAGGGAUCCUAGCAUAACUAUAGGAACUGAUGGUCGUGUAUAGUAAGUCAGUCAUAUGUGUAUAUAUACUCAAUCUAAUGUCAAUGAAAAUUAUUCUGCCCAUUCUACUUUUCUCUCAUACUUAGAUGGUAUCAGAGUAAGGAUUCACUGCACUUUAAUCUCUCGUAUAGCAUCUCUCUUUCAGCCAUCAUGGCCCUUGAGGAUAUUCCAAAAACCAGCAAUUCUGAUCCACAAAAAUCAGAGAUUUCUGCAGAUUCCUCCAAGGAAAAUCUCUCCAAUCCCUUCUUCACUCACUGUUCGGAUAACCCCGGAUUGAUUCUCAUCUCCAAACCUCUAAAUGGAGAUAAUUACUUUGGUUGGAAAAGGGCUAUGGUUUGAGCUUUAAACUCCAAGAACAAGCUCGGAUUUGUCAAUGGUUCUAUCACAGUUCCUUCAGAAGAAGGUGAUCCUAAAGGCUAUGCGACUUGGUCAAGAUGCAACGAUAUGGUUCAUUUCUGGAUCGCCAAUUCUUACGAUCCAGAAAUAGCUGACAGUAUGACUUGUUAUCCUAUUGCUCAUGAGGUUUGGGAAGAUUUCUAUUAGCGUUUCUCUCAAGGCAAUGCAUCUCGCAUAUUCGAGAUACAACAAGAUAUUGCUUCUCUUUGACAAGAGCAACUCUCUGUCUCUGCUUACUGCACUAAGUUGAAAAGUUUAUGGGAUGAAUUGGCAACACAUUCAGACAUAGCACAAGCCGAUCGAUAUAAAUUGAUGCAGUUUCUAAUGGAGCUUGUUGUGAAUUGAUAUGGCUUCGUUACUUACUUAGAGAUUUGGGGAUUUUACAUCAAGAGGCUGCAUUGCUAUAAUAUGACAAUAAGGUUGCAUUACAUAUAGCAGCUAAUCCAGUUUUUCAUGAACACACAAGGCACAUAGAGAUGGAUUGUCAUUGUAUAAGAGACAAGAUACAAGAAGGUUGUGUGAUAACAAGAUUUGUGAGUUCCGCAAAUCGGCUUGCUGAUAUGCUAACCAAAGCUUUGGGAAAAGAUGUUUUCAUGCCUAUGGUUCGCAAGUUUGGAGUGCUAGACAUUCACUCUCCAACUUGAGGGGUCAUAUUGGAAAGUAGAAUCCAUUUAUUUAUUAUAUUGAGCUGUAAAUAUAUUUUUCUGUAUGUAUUCCUAAAUUACAAUAGACUUUGAUUGCAUAGCUUAAUUAUAGGUAUCCUAGCAUAACUAUAGGAACUGGUGGUCGUUUAUAACAAGUCAGUCAUAUGUGUAUAUAUACUCAAUCAAAUGUCAAUGAAAAUUAUUCUGCCCAUUCUACUUUUCUCUCAUACUUACAAAAUUAGGUGAUAAUUAAGAAACAUGAAACUAUAAAAAUAUAAGUUCUUCUAUUUAUUCCAUUCUUUCUUCUUCUUCUUCUUAGUUGUAUGCAUGAAACUAUUGAUUAUUAUUUAAUUGAUAAUGAAACCGUCAUAUAUCAUUUCUAAAACAUAAAACCUUAUAUAGUCAAUAGUAUUCAAUAAAAAUCUAUCAAUAAAUGAUAAUAUAAUAUAAUUAUAGUGUCAUGUAUUUUAUGUGAAUAUUUUAAAAUUGUAUAGCAUUUAAAGAAAAAAAAAGGAUAAAAGUUUUGGAUAGGGAUAAAAAACCUCACCAACGAAACUUUAGUCUUUGCUUUCAAUUAUUAUUUGAACUACGCAAAAUACCAUCAUGGUCAGUUAAGCUGCAUUCAAGGUCUGUAUUAUAAGUUGAAUGUGACCUAGUUGAAACAAUUUUCGAGCUACUUUCUUUGGUAAUAACCAACUCCCCUUCUAGAAUCACCAACGCAUCUUCUUUACAAGGUCUUGAUUUCAAUGACAAAAUGCUAUCUAGUGAACUCCCCAAAAAUAUUGGCAGUAAUCUUCCUUUUUUGGAAUUUCUUUAUUUGUCCAAAAACAGGUUUCAUUGCAAAUACCAUCUACUUUAUCAACGUGCAUGUCUGCUAACUUUAAUAUUAUCAUCCAAUUAUUUCUUGGGAGACAUAUCAAAACAUAUAUACAACUUGAUUAGCAAAGCUUUAGGGAGUUAAAUCUUCGAUAUAACAAAUAUCGGAGUUUAAAUUGAUGAAAUUUAAUUAAUGAUGUUUCACUCAUAUUCAGCUACCUAAUUCUUAAACAAUAAUUGUUAUUAUACUCUUCGAGCAAUAAAUUCCUUUCAUGUUAUAAGAUGGAAAUUAAAUCCCUAAUUAUAUUGAAAAUUUUAUCAAUCUAGUCAUUUUUAUAAAUUUAUUAUCAAAAUUAGCCAUAUAAUAGAAUUUCUUAACAUAAUAGCCACAUGCACGUAAUUGGGACCAAAUUAUCCUUAAAACAAUCAAAUCAAAUUCCUCAUAUCCGACCUAUGUAUUUACAGGUCGACCAAUUGUAUAAUCAAUAUAGGGAUGGUUACAAUUGAGAAUUUAUAGAGUGCUCAAUAUUGAGCAUAGCUUCUAUUAAGGGAUUAAAUAUGUAUGUGCCGAUGUAGUGAAUAAUGAAAUCUAAGAUACAUAUUGAACAAGUUAUCUAAACCUCUUGUAGUAAUUGCAAUUGAGAUUGUAGCUAUCUAAAGCUCUAGUUUAUGUCGCCCAUGGGUCACACGUUGCAUUUGCUCAUAUGAUACUACCCAAAGACCCUAUUCUCGCAACUCUAUUUACCUUGUGAUCCCAUUACAUGCGAGUAGAUGUUAGAUUUAGGCGCCCAUGAUGGGCUGACUAUAUGUAAAGUAAGAGAUGGCUUAACAUUGUAGAACUUAUUGAGAAUUCAUAAGAUGUAACUUAUUGUUUUAUUUACAUCCUGAUGGCAUGAGAUCUAGCUUAUUCAAAUGACUUUGUUAAGUUUAUUUCAAUUAGAACACACUAAUUGUAAUAUAAAGACAUUACAUGGGUGAGUGAAAAUAUGUAAAAUAAAAAUCCGAAUUAUGCAAAAGAGAGUGUAGGAGAGAAAAUCAGAUAGUGUAUAUUCUUACUUUGUGAAUUGAGAGGUGUUGAAAAGUCAAGCAUGCAAAUUGAAUAAUUGUAUGUGACAGUUAGCAUGCAUUGCAUGACAAAGUUGGCACGAAUUGCCAAAUUUGUCAAUUUGGCAAUUAAAGUCAAAUUGAAGCGUGUGGUAGGUGAGCAAUGCUUCCUAUAGAUAAAAGGGUCAUUGUUCAUUUGUUUUCAUUCCAAUUUUGAGAGCAAGCAAGUGAAACAAUUUGAGAAUUUUGAGAGAGAUUCUACUUCAGUGGUGGGAGGAUUUAAUUGGGUGUAUUGGAGUUGUGGGUUUUGAGAGUUUUUCCCACUUUUGUAGAUUCUCAUUUUAUUAGUAAAAUUAUCUUCCAAUCUUUGUCCGUAAAAGUAGGCAUCAUGCUAAACCACAGAAAUUAUUUUAUCCUAUUUUCUUUACAUUUGUUUGUCACAUUAUAUUUCUCCAAAAGUCACAUGAAUCACCAGAAUAUUAGUAAUUGCUCAACCCGCGCUUCCGCAACAAGAUGAUCUUUCAACUUUGUGAUUAUCCUUCGAUGACCUCAUGACAAUAUGUUCGUGAAGGUUCCUAACAAUCCAUUCUUAAAUCUUUAAGAAUGGAAGGGAUCUGUUCUUGCAGUUGGAGGACACAUUGUGAUUUGUUCUUGCAGAUUCAUUGCGACCCGAUUGCUGAAUUGUGACUAUUUAUAUCCGCAUCAACCAACAUAUGUAUGGUUUUAGUUCAAAAAAUAAAUUUACAUGAUUGAUUUUAAAAAUCAAAAUAUACUAAAUCGAGUUGUAAUAAUCACAUUCAUAAUUGCCUGGAGUCUUGUCUUCACUCUCAAAUUUGUAUUGAUAGUCACGUUUUACAUAUAUGGUAGUGACAGUUAUAAUUUCACUUGUAGUGAAAGCAAAAAUCGAAGUGCAGUGAAACUGAGAGUUUUAAUACACAACGUUGCACGAAUAGUAUUGCUUUAACAAUAAGCGAAAGUUCCAGUGAAAGCAGAAGUUCAUCAAAUCUACCAAGAGGAAGUUUCCUCGCCCAUGUGAAAGAUAAACGCCUAAAAAUGUAAGGAGAAGUUUCAAUAUUGAGCAAAUCGCCUACGUAAGGUAAUCCGUACCCCAAGGUAUGGAGUAAUCUGUCUGGGUAAGCAAGAAGCCAAUAAGUGAAAGGUCAGGGACACUUGUGCAAGCAUCAAUUAACAUGAACAUAAAUCGCCAUAUAAUGGCAAGUGUCUCAAAAGUAAUUUAAACAUCAUUCAAAUCAACAAAAGUCAUUAUAAACUCUAUCCUUUUGGUAAAAAUUUUUAAUGAAAAAUAACUCAAAUAAAUGUUAUUUAAUUUAUACUUCUCACUCUCCAUUUUUUCUCUCCAAAAAUUUUGGUUGCUGACUUGACCGUCAAUGGUUCUCACUGGUAGCACACACCUCUGACUUUUCAUUUGCAUAUUGUAGAAUAUUCAUCGGUAAAAGUGGACCUUCCGAAAGCUUGAGGAUGAGGAGCCCAACAUAGAUGCUAAGGAAGAGAAACUCGUCCUACUCCUACCAAGAACACUUAACAAAGAUGAAUUAGUAAAUUGUAAAAAAAAAAAUGAUAUUAUUUUAAAUUUAAUUGUAUAAGUGAAUUUUGGCAAAUUAAUUCUAGGCCGAGCGGAGAAAGAUCAAAUUAUAAACUAAGAAAAGGAGUUCGUCUUAGUCCGAAAGGAAUAUCAAUAUACACAAGAUUUUAUACUUGACCAUUAGGACGAAAUUCUGAACCGCCGGUAGCCACUCAAUGUGGCCUACUUCUCCUGAUAAUAAUAAUAAUAAUAAUAAUAAUAAUAAUAAUAAUAAUGAGCAGUGCUAGAGCUAGACAUGAUAAAAUUUUAUUUUAAUAUUUAUUAACAUUCAUAAAAUAAAUAGUGAGCGAAUGUAAUUAUUUCCACUUAAAACUUGUAAAUUUUUUUAAUUGUUUGAUGAAUUACACAUUACACAUUACAUAGAAUCCAUUAAAAUAAAAUUAAUUACAUUAAUUUUAUUUAAUUGUUUGAUAAAAUUUUAAGAUAUCAAUUAUUACUCGAUAACAAUUAGUUUAGCUUUUGAGCAAAUCAUAUCUUUACAACAAAUUAUCCUUUUCAUAUAAUUUGUCAAGUCUAUUUACUUCUCAGUUCAACCCUAGCCAGUUGUUGUUGCACUUGUACGUUCAUUAAAAAAAUGUGGUGGCACAUCUUCAUAAGCAAUGCUUAUCCUGUUACCUCUUAGACCCAGAUUGUUUGCAGAAACACGAGUAAAAUUAAUUUGUUCAUUAUUCAAGUCAAACACGCACACGCUAGCAAAAAAUUCAGGGAUAUGGGCCACCAUCAAUAUGGAUAUAGAUAGAUAAAUAUAAUAGGUAACGGUAAUUAAAAGAUGUCGGUUGCUACAUUACCGCACAAAAAUAAUCAUUUAUGCUAAGACAAAUAGGGCCACAUCACGUGUACGUAUAUGUCCCCAUUCAGAUCAUAUUGUUAUUUAUAAAUUAUUAUUAAUUUAUUAUUAGCAUUUGCCUGAUCCUAAUACUAUGCCUUCAACUUUGGGAUAAUCACAAACAUAAAUGUUGUGUCCCCCUUGGUGGGUGUAUUGUUUCAAUCAGCACACAAAGACAAAUAGACAAUAUUCAUCACUUCUCAGUACGUAAUUCAAAUUUCACAAACACUAAAUUAUAAUUAAGCUCAUCGAUUUGUUGCAAUUGUUGUGGCCGAUCCAAAUGACAAACAAUAAAUGCCCAAAGUCAUCUGAUAGCCAUAUUCAGCUACUAUAAUAUACGAGUGCCGGAAAAUGUAAUCACUUACACUGCAUCACGUGUUUUUUUUUCUUUUAAAUUGUUAAUGCAGAUAAUGGGUAUAUUUUACCUUGAUCCUAAAUUAAAGGUCAAUAUAAACACAGUUCAUAUUGCUUCCCGAUUGUAAAUUAAUAUCAAUGUGAGCUGUAGUUGACCUCAGAUUUAAGGACAACAUCCAUCGGAUGAUUCAUAUGAAAGGUCAAGAAAAAAAUAAACAACAAUCAAACUAGAGAUGUUAAUAAGUAAAAGAACGUGGUUAGUAAUAAAACCACGUGUUGAAAACUCGAGUUUUUCCACCAUUUCCCCCUCUCUCAGCCAAUAAAUUAGGGCAAAAAACCUUUUGGUCAAUUUUUAGUGCAAAGUCAAAAGAAAUCAAGUUGUAAAACAAUUCUCAAUCUCCAUACACUAACUUGAGCAUUGAGGUGUCUUUUACAAUCAUGUAUUUAAGCUCAAUCAACAAAAUCCCACGAGGAUUGCAAGUUAUUCCAGAAUCUUCAAAGAAAUCAGGUAUAAUUAAUUCCUUAUUCACUUUACAUUAAUUUAUGAUACAUCCGAUCGGUGAAGGUUUACGCAUCUUCAACCACCAAAAAAAAAAAAAAAAUAUCAUCCAACUUGUAUAGUUGAUUAGAUCAAAAUAAUGUUAAAUGAUAGAGCAUAAAAUCAUAGGCAGAUUCAAAAAAUAAUUUAUUAUCUUAUUUGUAUCAACAUAAAAUCAGUGGUGGAUUUAAAAAAAUAAUUAAUGAGGACUAAAUUAAAUAAUAAAAAGAUAUAAAAAUGUUUGCAAAUAAAAUUUUCUACAUUUUUUUAACAUCAACUCGUAGCAGUAUCUUAUGUUGUAAAUUGACAUUUUAUGCUAAUAAUAAUAAACUUUAUAUUACAUAGAUAUGAAGUUUAUUACAAAAUGAAAAAUGCAUUUAUAAGAAAACUUAUCGGGAGUAAGGUUUACUCUAUGAGGGACCGACAAAAGGGAUAGCAACGCAUAAAGCCUUUGAAUACUUUCAACAAAACUUUAUUUCUUUUCGUCAAAAGAAAUUCCACCGGCUCAUGAGAAGAUUAAAGAUUCUAAAUCAUAUGAUUUUAUUCCUUUGUAAUAUUCUAAUUACUUAAUUAUUAAUUAACCAUAAUAAAACCCACAAUUCAAGCAAUUUUAAUCUAAGCAACACACGUGGAAGGUCGGUUGACGAUUGGAAGAAAGUUACAUCACAUGCAUAGGAUGUCCCGUGUUUACGUGUACUGGUGGAUCCAUCUCAUUGGUUCUUAAAUUUGAAGCCUCUAUCUUCGCCGAUGUCCCUCGUCUGUGGCAACCUAGGCGCCGUCAGAUUCUGACGCCCUUUUUCUGAUUUUCAACUUUCACAUCACGCGUCCUUGAAGACGCCACAUACACGGGCAUUUGUCCAUUUGUUAUCGAAUCCUCGUGUUUGUAUGAUUUUCAAUUAUCGUAAACAAUUUUUCUAGUUCUUUUUAAAUUUAAGGUUCUCUCUAUUUUAUUUAAAAAUAUAUAUACGUAUGUGAUUGUAAAUUAAUAAAUAAAAAUAUAAUAAUUAUGUAAAUUUUUAUUAAUAUAUAUGUGUUAAAAGAUUUUCUUUCUCAGAUAUGACUAGAUAAUAAGUGAAUCUUUAUUCUUACAAAAUAAGAUACAAAAUUUGUAAACUAAUUGAUAUUUUUUAUGAAGUGACAUUAUUUUAUUGAAAUCAUUUUAUUAUUAAUUUUUAAGUAUUAUUAACUUUUCAUAUUGAUAUUAGAUCAAUUGAGACAUGAUAAGUGCAUCAAUAACUUUUGAGAAUAAUAUUUCUUAACACUUCUCAUUAAAAAUAAUUAAAUAUGACAAAUAAAAAUAGAUCAUAAUUAAAUAAAUUUAAAAGAAAUAUGAGAACUAACACAACUUAAAAUUAAAGGACUAAAUGAGGAUUCUCUUUUACAUAUUAUUAUAAAAGAAAGCAAAUCAGAUCUUCAAACCAAUAUAUUAAUUACAAAAUUUUAACUGGCAAGACCAAAAAGAUGAAUCUAAAGUGUGAAUGCGCGUGGCUUAAAAGAAGAAAAGUUAUGGAUAAUCGUUAAAAUAUUUUUUAAAAAAUCAACAUUUAAUUAUUUAUAUCUAAUGUGGGCACAGCCCCAGCCCCCAGCACAUGGGAAAGUUGCCUUUAGCAUCACUAGUGCCAUUGGGUGAGCUGUCCUUGUGAUUUCAUAAAACAAAAGUGAGAUUUCACACUUCAAUAGAGCUUUGGUCUAUCAAAUAUCUAGCCAAUGAAAGGAUAUAGUAAAUGGAUUUUUUUUUAAAAUUUUUCUUUUUCAAUUAGUGACAUAGAUAGUCAGAUAUUUCCUGUACCUAGUCUAAAUUGAUUAUAACGUAGUUCAAAUAUUUGGACUAAAAAUAAUUAUUUUUUGUCUUCAAAUUUCAAUGAAAUGUAAAUUCUAAAUCUCAUGAAAAACGAUGGAUUUAAAUAUUUAGCUAUAUAUAUAUAUAGUCAAAUUACGGCUUCGAAACUAAAUAUUUUACUCAAAAUUUGAAACUAUGACACUUAUAACUUCAAAAAUUAUUAUUGAUAUUGUUUAAUGAAAUAUUUAUCACGAUUUUUUCGGGAUUAAAUUUAAUGUGACACAACUCAAAUGUUUCAAUCUAAAGACCAAAUUUACUCUCAAAUAAGGGGGGAAAAAAAAAACCAAAAACCUGUAAUUGAUCCACCAUCUUAAAAGUAUAAAUCACUAAUUAAGCAAUUAAAGUAAAAAAAAAAAAUCGAGAAAAUUCCAAAGAGUUGUAGCAUACAUGAUUAAGGAAACUAAUUGAACCGCGUAUGAUUCGUGAAAACGAAACACAAAAUUAAAAAGGUACGUGUUUAGUGUGUCUGAUAAUCAAAACAAGACACGUGUACGAAUCCUUUCGGAUUCUCUUCGCAACUCUUCUCUAUAUAAGUCCCCAUCGUCCCUCUCUGCAGUUACAUAACACAAAGGCAGUUACUCAAAUUGAAAAAACACACAUUCCUUUAAAAUCUUCAAUCAAAGUUUCUUGCUUUUGACUCUUUAAAUUUCACUUGAUUUUUUUUUUUUUUUUUGUAAGAAUCAAUCAAAGAUGGCAGAUGAAGGCACAGCAACAUGCAUUGAUAUUAUCUUGGCUAUCAUUUUGCCUCCUCUCGGUGUCUUUCUCAAAUUUGGCUGCAAGGUAACGUAACUAGUUCUUCUCUUUUGGGGGUGUUUUUAAAAUUUUAUUUUAUUAAAAACAUUCUGAAGAUAUAUAAGAAUUCGCUAAAAAAAUUUGUCUGUUUGUAAUCGUUAAUGCAAUGGUUUGUGCAGGUUGAGUUUUGGAUCUGUUUGCUGUUGACAAUUUUCGGGUAUAUCCCUGGAAUUAUUUAUGCUGUUUAUGCCAUCACCAAGAAUUGAUCUCUCUCUUCUUAUUCUGUAAGUGCCCUACACUCUUUUCUUCUCUUCAAGCUUUUGGAAAUAUUUUUGUAAAUUUUGUUUUUCAUAACUAUUAAAAAUUGUUACAUUUUUUUUUCAGAUGUUCUGGUGAUAUAUAUAUUUUCUGAAUUCGGGUCUAAAUCAGUCUAGUCAUUAUUCAUGAGUUUGAUUUUUUGGCAAUCGAAUGGAGUUAUAGAAUGAAUCUUUUUUUUUUUCAAUAUUCUAUAAUAUUAUGUUAUAAAUCUAUUGAUAUUUAUUAUCCGAAACAGAAAGAAGAUUUCGAUUUAAAGUUUCUCUUUUUGAGACCCCUCUUAAGACACCAUGACCCGCAUUAAUUUGUGCCAUUUAUUGGUCUUAAUUAUUUUUACUUUAAAUUGUUGUCUCCGUUGUGAUUUGUUCAACGGCUAUGAUACAACAAGGAACUGGAUUAGACCUGGGAAUCAAUGUCUUUUAAACUCUCUAAUUUUUCUUUUUGAAUUGUUUUGACAGAUGGAGAGAUCUGAGGGGCAGUAUGUGUUUAUGAGAUUUUUAUUUACAACCAUUUGAUGGACAGUUCUGAUUUGAUGUAGCCAGAUGGAUUAUGAUUCUUCUUUUAAGUGUUGUGUGUGCGCGUGUGUGAGAGAGUGAGUGAGUGAAGUGUUCCUUUGUUGAUCUUUAAUUUUUUCCGCCCUUUUUGUAUGAUUUGUCCCUUUUAUGAACUUUAGUUCAUUAUUUUAAUGUAAAUUCCGCGACAGAAAAUUUUUCUUGGGCUAAAAAUUUUAUAUAUCUAUAUAUCUGUCACUAAUUCAUAUUAAUUGUUUCAUUCUUUCCCAAUUAUGUAUGUCUGUCACGUCCCCAUUCAGAUAUGAAUGCAUAUGAUUUUUAAUUAUUUACUCAUUUGCCUAAUACAAUGCCUUCGACUCUGGCAUAAUCACAACUCACAAGCAUAUAUUGUGUUCCCUUUGGUGGAUGUAUUGUUUCUAUCAGCAAUCAAAGACAAAUAGACAAUUAAUAAUUAUAUACGCAUAUAGUAAAUGGGAUCUCUAUCAUCACUCGUCGAUACAUAAUUCAAAUUUCAUUAAAUAAUAAGUUAUAAUUAAGCUCAUCGAUUUGUUGCGAUUGUUGUGGCCGACCCCCAUGACCCACGACCCACAUGACCCACGUUACUAUGUCCAAUAUCAUGCUAACCAUAAUCAGCCACCAAAAGGGAGGAAAAAAAAUGAAAAAGAAAAAAAAAAACAUUUAGCUUAUAGUUGAUUAGAUCAGGCAGAUCGAACAAAAGUUUUCGAAUCAAACUCAUCGUAAUUGAAUUUACUUACGGCUUUUAUGAAAUAGUGUAAAAUUAAUAUGGCAAUUCAGAAAAAUGAUUUAUUUGAGGUUAAAUUAAAGGUAUAAAAUCUAAAAUUGAACACGCAAGUUAGUACAUUUAUAUUUUAUAAUUGUUCUGGAUUUGUUUUAUAUUUUGAAAAUAUUGCAUUAUAGUUAUUAUCAUUAUAUUAAGUAUAGGGGGAUUGUUAUUUUUUCCCUAUCGAAUUCAUUAUCUAUCACUUAUCUUGCUAUUGUUUUCAUAAUGUCCAAUAACUCUUUUUAUACAAAAUAAUAAUAAUAAUAAUAACAAAGAAAGAAAAAGAGAGGUAAAUAUAUAGAUCAUGUACUUGGUGUUUUCUCUUGAGACAUAGAAAAUAUACAUUUAUUGUGGGGGAAAAAAUAUAAGAAAAUGUAGGUGUUGCAACUAUGUCAAAGGCAAAUAUGCUUUUAAGGUUGAAAUAAUUUUUAAAUUUCUUUAUUCAAUAUCAUUUUAGAUUAAAAAUUAAAAAAAAGAUUAGAAUAAAUAAAAAAUAAGGGUAAGAAUUAGAUUAGAAUAAAUAAAAAAUAUGAUAAGAAUUUUUCUUAUUUUUAGUAUUCAACAUUUUAUUUUAAUAUUAAUAUUAAUUUGUUUAAUUUAUAAGAAAUAUAUAUGAACAAAGCUAUACUUAGAAAUAAGGAUAAUAUUGUAAAAUUUUGAUAUCAGGGAGUUGUUAAAUAUUAUGAAAAUAAUAAGAAGAUAAGUUGCGUAUAGAUAUUAAUUUUCGUAUACAUGAAACUGGCAAUCUCCCUAUCCAUAUAUGAUUUUAUACAUAAAACCAAACUAUUAUUCAUUUAUUUAUCUCCCAUCUCAUUCUAAAGUUACAUUCUUUACAAAUUUAAAAACACUUAUGCUAUGAAAUCACCCCACUCUGUGCAAGUAAAAAGAAAGAAGAAACCAUUGUGGUGUCGGCUGCUUGCUCUUUUGCUAAUUAAUAUUAUAGCAAUUCCUUUUUUUAUUUUAAAAAAGUGUAUUUGUAAGGAAUAUUACUUUUAACAAACUUCAUUUCUUUUCGUCAAAGAAAUUCCACCAGCUCAUGAGAAGAUUAAAAUAAGGGCUGGGCUACGUUGGAAUCGCUUCACAGGGGCACACUCUUUUAUAAUCAUACAAUCAAAAUUAUAAUGUAUUUUUUAUUUUUUAUCAUGUUGCGUGUGUAGCUAUAAUUCAUACUCUACCUCAGAGCAACUUUGACGUAACCAUAACCUUAAAAUAAAUCCUAUUAAACAUUCUUGUUGAUGCCAAAAUUUAGAUGAUAAGAUUACGAAAAUUUGGUUAAUAUUCACGAUUUAUAAUGUUCUGAGGAAUGCAUUAAGAGUCAUAUAAAAAUUGAAUACAACUCAAAUUAUAUACUGCAUUGAGAAUACAAGUAAUUUGUUUAGAGAAAUAUAUGAAGAGAGUAACAAAAAAGAUGGUUGGAGUCUUCAUUGGACGUUAAGUCUUCCUUGGAAUCAAGUGACACCACUUAUAAAACAAAGACGAUCAAAGUCAUCGGUGGGGUUCACUGGCAAAAAUCCUCUAAAAUUCAAGUCAAAAAACAGAGGACGUUUGAAAGAGAGAAAUUUAGCAAGGAACGAGAGAGAGAACUAUGAACCCUUAUACCUUUAACUUCUCUUCUAUUUAUAAGUUAACAAGAGAGAAAAGAGUCUUAUUAACCAAGGACAUGCAUCAUUUACACAUUGAUCUUACUGCCUUGCUAUAAAUAUGUCAUCUAGGUAUUGGAUGUUUGACUACUUAGAUAACUACAUUGACUUACUCAUAGCUUUAGUGGCUCACUAACUAGUCGCUUCACUCUCGUUGCAAGUAUAGAUGGCCAACGGGCCGUGCCGUGCAGGCCUAGGCCCAUCAAAAGAAGCCCACGUGUGUUUAUGCUCGUGCUUUGCCGUGCUCAUUAUGCGUGCCGUGCCUAAUUUUUUUUCCCCUAGGCCCGGCCCGGCACACGUGUCGUGCCAUGCCUAAGAAAAAAUGCCCAUAAGCUUUUUUCUUUUUUUUUUAAGAGUACAUGUCAAGUUGUUAUCUUAUUUUUUUCAAGCCUAUGUACUUUUUUUUAUCCAUGUGCCUUUAUUCAAACUUAAUAUAAUUAAAAAUUUAAAACUCAAGUCCAUAUUCAAUAAUAAUAAAUUAAUAAUAAUAAGAGAAUGUAAUAUUAGUUACUAAGUUUGACCAUGUUAUUUAAUAAAUUAUAAACAUAAAUCAAUUAUAAUUUUUUUAAACCUAAGAAUUAAAUAAAAUUAAAAAACUUGAGUUAAUAAAAUAUAUUAAAAGAUUCAAUUUCAAUUUAUUUAUAAAUUUAUAAAAUUUUAAGUUUACUUUCAUUAAAAAAUGAAAUGUGCUUAUUGAGUAUUUUUUCGAGUGUCGUGCUUUAGCCCAUCUCUAAUCAUGCCGUACUUUUAAAGCUCACGUGCUUAAAAUUCUAAGCCUGGCCCAGCCCACAUGCGUGUCGUGCCGUGCCGUGCCGUGUGCUCUACUGAAACGUGUUUGUGCCGUGCCAUGCUGUACGGACACGUGUUGUGCCCGUGCCGUGCCUCAUGACGUCUGGCCCAUUGGCCACCUCUAGUUGUAAGACCUUGAUCUCAUUUCAACUAACAAUGCAUCUAUACUUCAAACAUUGAGUCUAGAUCUAACGACUUAAAUCUAGCUACGGGGCUAACAUUGAUAGGUAUUUAAUUAAUGUGGGCAAUGGUUGAUGUCAUCUUAUUGAGAUAUUCCUUUGGUCACAUGCCGAAAUGGAUUUUCACUUGAACGUUAGUAAUAAAACCAUGGCAAAUUAACUGAGUAAGCUACGCGAUGGCAUCAUGGUGAAACUGAUAUGGUGCUGAGAUGACAUCUAGGUAGAUACGAGGCGGCACCAAGAAGAUGCUUGUUAACAAUGCAGUGGUGCCGAUAUGACAUCUUUGUGGCAACAAGAUGGUGUGUUGCUCUCAACAUGAUGGUACUAAGUGACAACUUUUGUGGCAACGAGCCAGAGUUAAGAAAUCGUGUUGCUCGUAAUGCGUGGUGCCGAGAUGACUCCUUGAUUAAAUGUUGUAUAACAAUUCUCUUUUUCAAUGCUGAUUUGAACACAUUACUUUACCUACUUGAUAAAUUACUGUAGAAUCACGUUUAUUUAUUACCGUUGCUCUAAUUAGGGUUGGCAAGUGAUUGGAUUUGCCAAGUGGGAUAAAAAAAUGUCACAUUCCUAUCCCUUUAUUUUUUUUGGGACAAAAAUUUGUCCUAAUCCCAUCCCGUUAAAUAUCAUGUCCUAUCACAUUAUCCUGAACAGUCCCAAAUGUAAACAAAUAAAUUUUGACUUUUUUUUUUCCUUUUAACGAUCAUCAUAAUUCAAUAUAACAAAAAUCUUGAAUAAAUAUAAAGUAGAAUAAUCAAAUAAUAAUUUUAUUUUUGAAUACAUGCAUGUUCGAAUAUAAUUUUAUACUAACAUUUUUUAUUUGUCAGUUUGCUUCCAUUGCAUAUUAAUAUUGAGACUUAAGCUUCAAAAACUAUAGAUUUGAAUAGUAACCAACUUCAGCCAUGUUAAAUAUCCAAUAAUUUAAUAAUAUAAUAAUAAACCAAACCAAUAGUUAGGGUUGACAAUGGGAUGAGAUGAGAUAUGAUUUGUCAUUCUUAGUCUUAUCCUGUAUAUGCAAAUGGAAUAAAAAAAAUUUCAUUCCCAUCCCUUCAUUUGCGACAAAAAAUAUAUUUCAAUCACAUCCCUCUAUCCCUAACUCUAAUAUAAUUUGCUGAUCGUCGACAUGGCAUAUGAACACUUAUGGUGUGUUUACUUGAGAGUUUAUGGAAUGGGAAUGAAGGAAUGAGAAUGAAACCCAUGUUUAUUUGGCAAAAUGUAAUUUGGGAAUGAGAAUAAAAUGUGUAAGUCCCACAUAAUUUGGAAAUAAGGAAUGAGAAUCCCACUCCCAUGGGAGGUUGAAAAUAGGGAUUCUCAUUCCCUAAACUGACUUUUGUAUCCCUCUACUUUUUUCAUAUUUUCCGAAUUAUCCUCGUUCUAACCACAAUUAAUUUUAUUAUUUUAAAUGUCAUUAUUAUUAUUAUUAAAUUUAUUAUUUUAGUUAUUAUUAAUUAUUGUUAUUAUUAUUUUUAUUAAUAUUAUCAUUAUUAACAUUUAUUAUUAUUAUUAAUUUUAUUUUUUUAAUUAAUAUUAUUUUUAUAAUAAUAUUUAUACAUGUAUCUAAUUACAUUAUUUAAUACUAUAGGUAUUUUAGUAAAUUGAUUCUCAUUCCCAUUUCUCAUUUCUCAUUCUUCAUUCCCAUUUAUUUUUAUCAGGUAAACAUUAGAAUCUCAUUCUCAUUUCUCAUUACCAUUUCACUCCAUUAUCAUUCCAUAAAAUAAACGCACCAUUUGUGCAUAUAGCCAUCCCGAAAUCAUAUUGUAAUAUGCUAAUUACUUAAUUAUUAAUUAAUCAUAAUAAACCCACAAUUUAAGCAAUUUUAAUCUAAGCAACACAUCACAUGCAUAGGAUGCCCCGUGUGUAAAGGUGGGUCAAUAUAAUUGGUUCUUAGACUGGAAGCCACCAUCUUCGCCUAUGACCCUCAUGUGUGACAACCUACAAGCCGUCAGAUUCUGAUACCCUGUUUCUGAUUUGUUAUUUUGACAUCACGCGUCCGUGAAGAGGUGGAAUGAAACUAUUUGGGUCUCAACCAUUAGGAUAAUAAGAUCUCUAAGAAUCCUUUCAAAAAAAAGAAAAAAAGAAAAAAAAAAGAUCUCUAAGAAUAUUAAAACGAAACUAAUUACUAAAUUAAGGCAUUCGGUUUCAAAUUUAAAAUGGGGGUCCCAGUUUUGAUAAAAUAAUUUUUAAUCCUUAUAUAAGGUAAUUACUAAGUACUCCUUUAUUCCUAUAGUUGAACUAAUUUUCUCAGUAGUGCUACACAUUCUAAAUUUUUUAUCCUAAAAAGUUAUCUCAAAUGAUGUGUCAUUAAUUAAGUGGUUGAUAAUUCUUUACAAGAUCUAAGUGAAUUAAUUGUAUUAUCUCACUAACUAAUUGAUAAAUGACACAUCAUUUGGGAUAAUUUUUUGGGAUAAAAAAUUUGAGAUGUGUAGCAUUACUCUUUCUCAAUAGUAUUUUGUACUUUUAAAAAUUACCAAAACACUCUUCUUGUUAAUUUUGUAACUAUGGAUUUAAUAUUUCGAGGACAAAAAAGUAUAUCAAAUUAAUAUAAUUUUAAAUUUAAAUAAAUCUAACAUACGAUAUAUGUAAACAUAUGAUAAUUAAAAUUUUUUAAUCAAAAUAAAAUAAAUAUACGAUUGAGAUCUUUGAGUAAUAUUUUAAAAAUAUAACCCAAAAAAAGGGUAAAUCUAAAGAGGGAAUGCGCGUGGCUUAAAAGAAUAAGGCUAUGGAUAAUCGUCAAUAAAUUUUAUAAGAAAAAAAAAAAGAACAUGUAAAUCUAAUUAUGUGGGCGCAGUCCGAGCACAUGGAAGGUCGCCUGUAGCCAUGUUCCCCAAAUUAAAUUAAGAUUAAUAUCAUCACGUGUGUGAGCUUGUGUCUUUUGUGAUCCUCGAAACCAAAAGUGAGAAAUUUAAUAUAAUAGCUAUUGACAUUAACAAAAAUUAUUGACAUUAGUAAUCAGAUAUAAUUUUAAUUAGUGGAGUUGGUUUGAUUACCGCACAGAUCAAAUCUUUAGACUAAAAUAAUUUCUUUUAUUCUGAAAUUUGAGUGAAAUCUAGAUUUCAAAUCUCAUGAAAACAACAGUCAAACUAUGGAUCUCAAAAUAAAAUAUUACACUUCAAAUUUGAAAAUUAUGACACCUGAAAAAAAAAUAAUUCCUGACUAAUUUUAUGAAAUAUUUGUCAGGACUAUCUAGAUCAAGUUUAAUAUAACAUAACUUAGAUAUGUUUAGGUCAAAAGACGGCUAAAUUUACUCCCAAUUUUUUGAAAUUAAAAAAAAAAUCUAUUCUAUUCACAAAUCUUUAAAAAUGGGGAGAGUGAUGUUAUACUUUAACUUUUUUAGACCUUAUUUUUGUUAUUUUAGCACCUGAUAAAUUUUUAAUCCUCUAUUUUAUUCGUGGCGUGUAAAUGGUGAUAGAAAAAAGUACCAUUUAAGUAAAAGUUACUUUUUAAUAAAUAAUUUAAUAAAUUUCGAUUUAUAAAAGACAUCACAUAAUCGGUUUGUAUGUAGAAUGAUCAUAUUUUAUAUAUAUCCUUCCGCAUUUUAUUUUUAAUAGUUGUUUUAAUACUAGAGAUUCAGUACAGUUUCAAAAUCUAUCAAGUGCUAAACAUAUAUUCCAAGAGGGAUUAAAAAAAAAUACAACUAAAAAAUAAGAAAUUAAAGGUAAAAUUCUAGAAAAUUCCAAAGAAAAUGAAAAUGAGACACGCAAUUAAAGAAAACGUAGGAAAAAGAUACGUGUUAGUGUGUCAGAUAAUCAAAAGAUGACACGUGGGCAAUUCUUCUGGAUGCUGUUGUCUCUUCGAAACUCUCUCUCUCUCUCUCUUUCUAUAAGCCCAUCAACUCUCUUUGCAGUUCUAUAAACAAAAAUACCAAGUACAAAUAACAAAAGCAGUUACUCAAAACCCUAAGCACUUCUUUAAUCAAAGUUCUUGUUUUUUGACUCUAAAUUUUAUUUUAUUCCAUUUUACACUUUUUAAGAAUCAAUCAAAGAUGGCAGAUGGAAGCACAGCAACAUGCGUAGAUAUUCUCUUGGCUGUUAUCUUGCCUCCUCUUGGUGUCUUUCUCAAAUUUGGUUGCAAGGUUCGUAGCUACUUAAAAGUUUUAUUUUAUUAAAAUAUUUUGACAAUCAAAAUUUGUUAGAUUUUUUUUCUAAUUAAGUUUUAGUAACCCUUCAUGUAAUUUUGAUUUUAAUGGGUAAAGUGAAAUGAUCAUGCAGGCUGAGUUUUGGAUCUGUUUGCUCUUGACAAUUCUGGGGUAUAUCCCUGGAAUUAUUUAUGCUGUUUAUGCCAUCACCAAGAAGUGAUCUCUCGUCUUCAUCUGUAAGUGCCUGUACUCUUUAAUUUUGCUCAAAGCUUUUGGAAAUCUUUUUAUGAACUUUUUUUUAAUUUAUAACCAAAAAAAUUGUUAAUUUAUUUACGAUUUUACUGAACUUCUGAUGAUAUAUAUUUACUGAAUUCGGGUCAUCACUCAAAAGCAAUUUAGAAAAAAAAAUUGAUUUUUUUUUAUAAAUUUAUUGAUAUCUAUAAUCUGAAAUUUAUUGUCUAAAAAACAUGACCCAAAUUUAACCUCAACAAAUAAUUUAGGAGGAGUGCUACCGGUAAAUAUGAAAAUCUUUUUCUAUUUUACAUAAGAUUUUUUUUUUCUGAAGGCGAAAAAAAUAUCUUGAUAUAAGAUAUUUAGUUAAUAGAUAAUGGGUAUCCAAAUCAACAAGGAUUUGGAUUGAAAGUAUGUCUUUUUGUGUCCUCCCAACCCAUCGGGACCCGCAUUAAUUUGUGUGAUCUUUUUAUUGGUUAAUUAUAUUCUAAUUUAAAUUUUGUCUCCAUUGUGGAUACAGUUGAUUACAAAAGCAAUUGGAGAAUUUGAUAAAGACUUAGGAAUCAAUAUCAUCCUUCUUGCAAGCUCUGUAAUUUUUCUUUUGACUUGUUUUGACAGAUUGAGAGAUCCCAAGGGCAUCAUGUGUUAUGAGAUCUUUUAUUUACAACCGUUAGAUGGGCAGCUCUGAUUUGAUGUAGCCAGAUGGGUUCUGAUUCUUAAUCAACUGGGGUGUGCGUGUGUGUGUGGGAGAGAGCACUUGUUUCGUUUGUUAAUCUUUAUCGUUUUCUUUUCUUUCAUUUGUCCUUUUUAAUGAAUUUUAAUUCAAUAUGUUGAUGUAAAGUGGAGUAUUAUUGAGUGUGUAAAUUGCCUUGUGAAUCAUUACAAGUCCCCACAAAACCAAAUUUGUUCUGAAUUAUUGUGACUGCUGAGUAAUUACUAAAUAUUCUUUUUUGUUAUUUUGUAGAAAGAACAAAACUGAUUGAGCUGGGCUAUAACUAUCUCAAUUAUUUAAUGUGUUUGGUAAAAUGGAGCUUUCAUAAUAUUAAAGCAAAAACGAAGCAGAAAGGAACUUAUCAUGCAACAGACAAUAAGCAUUUUACUUGUGCUCUUGAAAAACGAGGUGUUCUAAUUCGUACAUUAUUCAAUAAACAAUUUGCUUUACCCUGCCGUUAGGGCUUGACAAAGUAAUUUUUAAGCUUCUUUUUUUUCUUUUAAAUCUUUACUCAUUCAAAAUCGAAUUUUAAGAGAAAUGGGGACUGAAAAUAUUACCUUAAAAAAAAAGGACACAAAGAAAACUUUCUUUUAUCCCAUUAACCUUUGAAGGUCAGGGAUACGUGACAGACUUGUACACGUCGUGCUUAUUUUAGAUGGUUGCGUAUCAUUUGAGUCUCUAGCCAUGACUUCAUAAAGAAAAGAAAAUUCAAACCUGGAGUACAUCCAUAUCCGUUUUGAACAAGGACUUGUAUAAAAUAUCUUUAAAACUAACCUAUGGGUGAUGUCCACAUUCAAAUGUUGACCAGAACUUGACAGUUGUGAGACAUGUUAAAAUAUAUAAUUGAUUGAAAGGGCAGCAUGAUUUUGCCAAAUUUAGAUGAUAUCCACAUUCAUCGAUCUUUUUUUUGGGUUCAGACCUGACUCCCUACUCAAUUAAAUUAGAUGAGAGUCGAUUUUUUCCCGUAGAAAUUUGAGUUGUGUCACACUAAUUUUAUCAAGAGUAGUUCUGAUCGAUUUUUAAUUGUCAAUAUUAAUAGAAUUUUGAUUACAAUAUAUAGCAGUAUAUCAAUUAAAAAAAUCGUAAUCAACUCAUCAAAAUUAUAAUACCAUUUCAGGAAUGCACUCAUAACUCGAAGUGUCGUUUGCAGUCCACAAUUUAAACCUGUGUAAUUAGUUAACAGAAAUUUACAUGCGUAGUGAAGAGUUUAAAUUUUAUGGGAAAUUAAUGAGGUUUCGGCAUCGAGUGAUGUAUUUAGUUUCAGCAUCUAAUUUCUGCCGAAGCACUUCAACAGCUUGCCAGCACAAAUUUGAAGACUUUAAUUUUUGGUAAAUUAUGCCGUAUGAUAUGGAAUAUGCAUGUGGAAGAAAAAAAUAUUAUUCCUUCGCAAUCAAGUAACCAGACCUGAUAAAAUCGAUAUACAGGCCAACCAUCGCUCAAGUCAAGGAGGGCUUCUGUGGAAUACAAUAGACUUGCCGGUUGUCUACAUAGAAGAUGAAGAAACCGCAUACAAACAUCAUAAACAUCCAAUUUUGAAUCAAAUCAUUUUUUUGCUUCACAAGUAUUUGCUAUCCCACACAGGCAUAACAGUGGUGAUAUUAUUUUUUAUGGUAUGAGUUAAAAUUCAAACAAAUAUGAUGACAUGUAACAGGUAGAAAAUAUAUGAUUAUUAAGAAGUUUUUAUUGGAAAUAAAUAUAGAAUAACUACUUUUUUGGUCAUUUUAAAUUUUAAUUAUUUUCCCAAUAAUUUUAUUAUGGAUUAAGUACUUAAUGUGCCAAAACUUAGCUUGUUUACAAUAAGUCAAAAUACCAUUUUACCAUACUUUAUACUAAGAUAUUAAGAAUUCAUUGUGCCAAACUCCCAUGUUUGUCUCUAAUAAAUCAAAAUUUCAAAAUAUAAAAUAUGGAUAAAAUUAAAUAGAAAAUAAUUGAAUUUAUAUAAUUAAAAAUAGAAUUUGAUUAAAUCAUAUUUUUCUACUAAGAGUUUCACCUCACCCUAACUAUUAGUAUUUAGUUAAAGACAUUAAAAAAAUGGUAUUUGAAAAUUGAAAUAAACCAAUUUUAUUUAUUGACACUUUUACCGUGGUAAAAACUUAUAAAUUCACAAUAAAAGUGGUGGAUCCUCCUCGACAAUGACCUAAUUUCUCGGACCUCCGGAAUUCAAAUUUGACAUCCGUACAUUUGGUUAGAGCAUCAAAUUACGUGAAAUUAUUAUUUUUACUUAAUAAACACACAAAAAUACACAAAAUUAAAUAUUUAGAAAAAGAAUUAGAAAUUCAUAAUAUGUUACAUUAUUACAAAUGUAAAUUAUAUUAUAAGCACAAAAUAACAUUUUUACUUCUUAAUAAAUAUAAAAAUUUUAACACUAAUCAAGGGGCUUUUUAGUAACACCAGGGUAAAAUUCAAAUAUCUCGUGUUCUUCCUAAGUUAUGUAAGAUAGGCGGCAUGCCCUCAUGUGAUUGUCCUUUUGGGUUAUCUAACAAGCGCACAAGGGUUUGUUGGGGAGGUCUCAUCUAUACAACCCUUUGCAGGUGGCUAUUUUUAGGGCUCUUUUAGUGAAGCAUGCCUAACCCAACCACGGAUCUUCUCAAGCUGAUGUGACUAAAUAUCUAUGGACACCUUUCGUCACUAUUCAAUAAACAAAUUUGCUUUAUCGUGCCAUUAGGGCUUGACAAAGUAAUUUUUAAGUUUUUUUAUUUUUUUUUUCGUCAUUGGAAAUCAAUCAAAUUUUGACAAAGUUGGGGAUUAAAAAAUUUACUUAAAUGAAAAAAGGGAAAAUUUCUUUUAUCCCAUUAACCGUUCAAGGUGAGGUAUAUGAUAAGGAAAAAGACAUUCUCACAAAGGAUUGCACAAAAGAUUGUACAAAACGGUGAGUUCUGAAAAAAAAUAUAAUUACAAAUUUUCAUAAAAUCUUGAAAAUUAAUCAUAUACAUCCUUAUUUGAAAUUAUUUGGAUUUUGGGUUGAUUUAUCUGCAAAAUUGGUAUCAAAGCCAAGUUUUUGGUUCAAAAUAUAAAAUGGAAGAAAUAGUUGUUUAUUUCAUUAAUAAUGGAGGAUAUAAUUUAAUGAUAAACAAUAAUACAAUAAAGGAUAACAUAACAAAACAUAGACAAUAUUAUUAUUCAGAAAUUAAUACAUUAGAUGAUAAACAAUUAGAACAAUUUUAUCUACACAGAGCUCAUGAAUUUAGGAUUGGAGGACUUAUUGUCAUAAAAACUAGAAAUUUAAACAUUGAUCCUAUUCUCUUAUUUAGAAUUAGAAGAGAAGUAUAUAGUAAUAAUUUUUCAUGGAAACAAUGGAAUAUUAAUUCUGUUGAAGAUUAUAUAGAUGAACUUAUAAUUGAUUAUAAUGGAUUUUUAAAUAUUAAACAAAGAGAUUAAUAUAAUUGGAAUAAUAAAAGGAUCCGUAGUAAAUAUUAUCCUUCUAGCAACAUGCUUAUAGGAUAUAAAGAUUUAAUUAUGUAUAAACUAUGCUAUAUACAUAAAUGUUUAGCGGAAAACAAUAUACCAAAGGAUAUAAGAGACAUUAUAUGUCAUAAAUACUUGUUAGAAUAUAAUGAAAUAUUAUGUAGAUGGUACUAUGAAUAAAUUACCAGAACCAUUGAUAAUUUCACAAAACAUAGAAAUAAAAAAAUUUCCACCUUCUAACUAUAGGCAUAGAGGAUUUACUUAUGUAAGAUUUCAACCAUUUGAUCGAGUAAAUGAUUCCGAUAUGUGGGGAAAUAAUUAGUUGAACUGGAUUUCCUUAUAUUUAUUAAAUAAAUUAGGCAACCCCAAUUUUUUACUAUAAAUGAUAUAGAAAGUAUAAAUGAAAUACUUGAGAUUAAAAGCUUCAAUGCUGAAAAUAUAAAACAAGUUAAAAUGAUAGGAGAAAAAAUGAGUGAAGAGUUUGAUUCAGUCAAACAAUUGAUAAAAGACUUCAAAAUUGAAGAUCAAGAUAGAUUGAAACAAGAAAUCAUUAAGGUUAUGAAAAAAAAUUCAAUUGAAAAAAAAAUUAAAUUAAAUAGAAAUUCAAUUACAUAAAAUUAAAAAAAUUGUGGAACAACUUGGUAAUAAAUUUGCAAUAAGUAUAAAUGGAAAACUUCAAAGGGAUUGAAAUACAAAAAAUUGAUAACAAUAUGGAGGAAUUACUCAUGGUAAUUCAAGAAUAAAAUAAAAUUUUGCAAGAUACCAUAAUUUACUACAAUGAAAAGAAAGAUAAAGAAAUGAUAACAAUAUCUAAACCAAUAUUUAACAAAACAAAGGAAGAUAAAAAGUUGAUAAGUCUAAGGAUGCUAAGUGAAAAUAUAGACAAUGGAUUAAAAGAAUUAUCUAAUCAAGAAAUAUCUGAUGAAGAAUCUGAAGAAGAAGAAGAAGAAGAUAUAUUCAUUAAUUUAAAAGAUAUUGAAAAUAAAAUAGAAUAUCUAAAAAUGAAUGAAUGAAAGCCAAGGGUUUUUGAAAGAGGAGAAACUAGUAAUAGAGCUUCUUAUACUAGGGAAGAAAUACCAACUCAUGAAAGACCUCAAGGUCAAAAUUUUAGGAUUAAUAAACCAAAAAAUGAAUAUAAAACUCCAGGAGAAUAUAGAGAAAGACCAAUCAAUCACGAUGGAGUAUGGUUAGAUUUAGACUGUGUCAAAGAUAAAGAUAAAACGAUUACCGCUUGGGUUAAAUCUAUGAAAAUGGCAUUAGCAUUUCACAAAAUAGAUAGAGAUAAUUGUAUAGAAUUCCUUAAAACUUCAUUUAUAGGAAUUGUGCCUCACUGGCUUAUGGGUCUAAAUGAUACCAAUAAAAAUAUAAUAUUAUAUGGAGAAAAUAAUGAUUGAAACGAAAACUUUGAUCAAAUUUAAAUAGAUUCGAAAAUGAAAUAAGAAAAGAAUUCUUAGGAGAAGAUUGGGAAACUAAUUUUCAACAAGAAAGAAAAAGAAAACAUAUGGAAAAUUUAAUGAAGCUGACAAGGCUUGAAACAUGUAAUAUAUGUUAUUUAGAAGAAUACACAUGUAACUUCGAAGAAUUAUAUUAUAAAUGUGAAUUUGAUAAGGAUAAAGAUAACAUAUACUAUUACAAUUAUCUAUAUUUUAUAAAGAUACCAGACCCAUGGGGUAAAAGGAUUAUGUUAGGAUAUAACAAAGAAUACGGAGAUACCACACAAACUAAUAAUCUAGGAAAUAUAAUUAGAUUUGCUCGAAAUAGAAUCAGCGAAUGGUGUGCUGAUAUAAGAGAUAAAAGACUUAUGAAAAAGCAAAUCGAGGAUUAUACUGUUUUAGGUUAGAAGAUCCACCAAGAUUUGGAUGCUAAAUCUAUAAACAUAAAAAGAUAUUCAAAAAGAAGAAAUUCUUUAAAGAAAACAAAAAAAUAUUACAAGAAAAAUAAAUAUAAGAAGAAAUUCUAUAAGAAACAUAAAUCUAAAAGAAAAUCUAAGGCCAAUACACCUAAAAAGUGCAAAUGUUGGUUAUGCAAUGAACAAGGACGUUAUGCAAAUGAAUGUCCUAAAAGGAAGAAAGCAAAUAUAAAAAUGUUUGAUGAUUUCAAUGAUUUAGAAUUAAUAACAGACAGUGAAGUGAAAAUGAUAGCAUAUAUUAUCUUCCUGAGGAAACUUUGAGUAACUCAUAUUCAUAAUCAUAUUUAGAAUGAGCAUAGAAUAAUUAGAUAAUAAAGAUUUAUAUCAAGAUGAAGAAUUAGAAAAACAAGGUUCUUUUAAUAAAGAAUUAAUCUUUGAUAAAAGACAAUAUCUCAAGAUUAAUAAAAAAGGAUUGGAAUCAUGUAUGACUUCAGUUAACAAGUUAGCACAAGGAAUUGCUAACAUGAUUAAAGGAAAAAAAUAUAAUGUAUUUCAGUGCUACUGUGCGAGAAGAACCUAUUGAUAUUAGAUAUGCUAGAGGAAAUACAAAUAUACCAUUAUUAUUAAAAUCUUAUAUAGAAGAUAAAAUCAACAAAAUAAAAUCCAGUGAUAGACCUAAAAUUGGAUACGUUCAUAUUGAAGGAAUCCAAAUAAUGAUAAAAGCUCAUUUUAGAGAAGAAAUAGAUAGUCCAAUGAAUUUGGUUGUACUAGAUAAUAGAAUUAAAGAUCGAAGACAUGCACUCCUUGGGAUAUUACAAGGAAAUCUAAGUUAUAAAAAAUUGAUAUUUAAAAUAUAUCCCAAAUAUUCUAUAAGUCUUAAAGACAUAAAUAUAAAUAAAAUAUUAACUUUAUGUCAUGAUUUCAAAUACUUUGAUAUAAUGCAUGAUUAAUCUUAUCCAUAUAGCAUGACAUAUGCAAUAGAAUAUGCAUUAACAAACUCAGCAAAUAGUGAAAUGUUUGCUGAUAAAGAUUUUAUCGAAAUUGAUAAAUUAUUUAAUAAAGUUGGAAAAAUACAAUCUCCUAAAAUUUUGAGGGAAUUAGAUUUACCAGAAGAAUGGGAAAUGGAUUAAAGUUGUCAACCUAUUCUCAUUAGAGGAAAUACUACUAAAUCUAUAGAAUAUACUCCAGAGAGGAGAAUCAUCAUAGGAAAUAAAAGAUCAUUCUCUAUACCUAGAAAAGAGUCAGGAUUAACUAGAACCCAAAGUUUUACUAGAUGUAGCUAUCUUGUGAUACCACCAUCACAUGAAAUAUUGGCCACGAUUAGAAAAAAAUAAUCAAAAUCUAAAAAUUAAGAUUGAAUAUAAUAAUGGAAAAUCAUGGCACGAGAUUUUUGCUAUCCUUGAUACAGGAGCUACAAAAUCUUAUGUAGAUACCAAAAUGAUUAAAUAUUUAGAAAGAAAAUUCUAAUAGAACCUCAUACCUAUGUAGGAUUUAAUGGAGAAAGAAAGACAUUAAGUCAAUAUUGUGAAAUACCAUUAAGAAUAAAAGGAAUCGAAUUCACGUUUCCUUUUUUUUUAUAGAACCAGAUUAUGAAACAGAAAUAAGUCCUUUAUUAUUAAGGAUGAACUUUCUUGAGAAUUUCUCUCCUUAUUCUAUAGGAGAUAGAGAAAUAAGCAUAACAAUUGAAGGAAUUAAGCAAACCAUAUCAAGAUAUGUCUAACCCUUUUAUUGUUUAUAUAAAAGUGAUUAUACCAUACUACAAGUAUAAGCCAGAAUGGUUUCAUACCUUAAUAGAUACUGGUUUAGGAGUUAGUUUAGCUAAUUCUAAGAUUUAUCCAAAAUCAUAUUGGAAGGAUUAUAAACCUCUAACAGGACAAGGAAUAAAUGGUGAACAGAUCACCUUAGGAAAAUGUAGGAUUAAGACUUUAAUCCAAAUCGAAGAUUACAUCCUAAGUAUCCCAAUAUUAUGGUCUUAUGAUCAUAUUGGAGCAUAUAUACUUUUAGGAGUUAAUUUCCUUCGUCAGUUCAUUUAUAUAAUGACUAAUGAAGCAAUUACUCUUAAAACACCAUGUAAUCAUUCCAUUACUACCCCACAGAUUUAUAACCCUAUUAGGUGAACAACUCGAAAAUUACAUUUUCGAAGCAGCCAGCGUGGUGAUUAUAAUUUAAAAAUUAUCAAAUCAUAUCAGAUUAUGAAAAAAAUUUAGAAAAACUUGAUAAAAAUUUUGGUGAAAUCCAAUUCAAUUAUGGGAAAUUGAUAAAACAUAUGCUAAGAUCGAAUUAAAAGAUCCAAAUGUUAUCAUAAGAGUCAAGCCUAUGAGGUAUGGACAAGAAGAUGGACAAGAAUUUGAUAAACAAAUUAAAGAGUUAUUAUAACUCAAGAUUAUUCGAGAAUCUAAAAGUGCUCAAAGUACUCCAGCUUUUAUGGUUAGAAAUCAUGCAGAGAUUAAACGAGGAAAAGCUCGUACGGUUAUUAACUACAAAGAAUUAAAUAAAUAUACUAAAUUUGAUGGAUAUUUUUUACCUCAUAAAGAUACACUAAUUACCUUUGUGAUCAAUAAAAAGAUAUUUAGCAAGUUUGAUUGCAAAUCUGGAUUUUGGCAAAUCAAACUUGAAGAAGAAAAUAUACUACUUACUGCUUUUAGUACACCUCAAGGACAGUAUGAAUGGAUUGUAAUAUCUUUUCGAUUAAAAAAUGCACCACAAAUAUUUCAAAAAAGGAUGGAUAAAAUUUUUAAGGAAUUUCAUGAAUUCUACAUUGUUUAUGUAGAUGACAUUUUAAUAUUCUCUGAUAAUAAGAUAGAUCAUAUUAAUCAUCUCAUUUUUGCAGAAAAAUGCAAAAAGCAUGGAAUAUUACUUUUUAAAAAGAAAGCUGAAAUAAUGAAACCCAGAAUAGAAUUUCUAGGAUUAAUAAUAGAUGAAACAGGAAUUGAGAUGCAACCUCAUAUUUCUGGAAAAAAAAAAUAUUUAUUCCCAGAUAAACUAGAAUUAAUGAACAAAUUCAAAAAUUUUUAGGAUGUCUUAACUAUGCUGAAGGAUUUAUAGAAAACUCAGCUAAAGAAAGACAACUUUUACAAAGAUUGUUAAAAAAGAAUAAUACAAAAUCAUGGGAAGAUCUCCAUACCAAAGUAUAAUUUAAAAAUUAUCAAAUCAUAUCAGAUUAUGAAAAAAAUUUAGAAAAACUUGAUAAAAAUUUUGGUGAAAUCCAAUUCAAUUAUGGGAAAUUGAUAAAACAUAUGCUAAGAUCGAAUUAAAAGAUCCAAAUGUUAUCAUAAGAGUCAAGCCUAUGAGGUAUGGACAAGAAGAUGGACAAGAAUUUGAUAAACAAAUUAAAGAGUUAUUAUAACUCAAGAUUAUUCGAGAAUCUAAAAGUGCUCAAAGUACUCCAGCUUUUAUGGUUAGAAAUCAUGCAGAGAUUAAACGAGGAAAAGCUCGUACGGUUAUUAACUACAAAGAAUUAAAUAAAUAUACUAAAUUUGAUGGAUAUUUUUUACCUCAUAAAGAUACACUAAUUACCUUUGUGAUCAAUAAAAAGAUAUUUAGCAAGUUUGAUUGCAAAUCUGGAUUUUGGCAAAUCAAACUUGAAGAAGAAAAUAUACUACUUACUGCUUUUAGUACACCUCAAGGACAGUAUGAAUGGAUUGUAAUAUCUUUUCGAUUAAAAAAUGCACCACAAAUAUUUCAAAAAAGGAUGGAUAAAAUUUUUAAGGAAUUUCAUGAAUUCUACAUUGUUUAUGUAGAUGACAUUUUAAUAUUCUCUGAUAAUAAGAUAGAUCAUAUUAAUCAUCUCAUUUUUGCAGAAAAAUGCAAAAAGCAUGGAAUAUUACUUUUUAAAAAGAAAGCUGAAAUAAUGAAACCCAGAAUAGAAUUUCUAGGAUUAAUAAUAGAUGAAACAGGAAUUGAGAUGCAACCUCAUAUUUCUGGAAAAAAAAAAUAUUUAUUCCCAGAUAAACUAGAAUUAAUGAACAAAUUCAAAAAUUUUUAGGAUGUCUUAACUAUGCUGAAGGAUUUAUAGAAAACUCAGCUAAAGAAAGACAACUUUUACAAAGAUUGUUAAAAAAGAAUAAUACAAAAUCAUGGGAAGAUCUCCAUACCAAAGUGGUAAAAGGAUUAAAAGAAAAAUAUAAAAAUCUACCCAGGCUAGGAUUCCCUACCUCUAGUGAUAAUUUAAUUCUUGAAACAGAUGCUUUAGAUAAUCAUUGAGGUGCAGUCUUAAAAACAUAUCAAGAAAAGAUUUGAAGAUAUGCCAGCGGAACAUUUAAGCCUGCAGAAAAGAAUUACAUAGUAAUGAAAAGGAAUUAUUAGCUAUUAAAACGGAAUAGCUAAAUUUACUUUCUUUUUGUUACCAAAGAAAUUCAAGGUAAGAUCCGAUAAUACUCAGGUAAAAGGAUUUAUAUUUAAUAAAUUACUUAAUCUUCCACAAUAUAAAAGAUUAAUUAGAUGGCAGCAGUUCUUUCCUGAAUAUGAUUUUGAAAUUGAAUAUAUUAAAGGAUCUAACAAUUGUAUUGUAGAUUUUCUUAGCCAAGUAUACAAUGGAGAGGAGCCUUUCCAAAAUAAUUAAGGGCAUAAUGAUGUUCUCUGAAGGUCAAGAAUUGCUUCUCAAAGGCAAUGGUAUGAUUUAUGAUGGGCUUGCUAUGAUAGAUGAUGCCCAUGAAGAAUUGAGCAAACUUUGCCUAGAUAAAAGUUUUCAAAAGCAUCCAAAAUUCCAAAUAUCAUAACAAUAUAUUAGCAAUAUGCUAAAAAAAUGUCCAUUUUAAGGAUCAACUUGAGGGACAGAUCGCCCAGAGUUCUUCACAGAACUCAAGGAUCACACAUCCAGAUAAAUUUCUCACAAUUAAUGAUCUUAAAGAACAAUAUAUGAGGAAAGAAGAAUCUCAAGGGUCUUCAGUAAGCUUAAGUCCUCAAUAUGAUAAAAGCGAACAAUCUGUUCCUAUGGUUAAAAUUCCAAUAGGAAGUGACUACGCCUAUGAUUAUAAAAGAAUCGAAAAAAUGGCCUAUGAGAUUCGCCCUAAUCAGGCUAUAAUACCAGAUCAUUUAGGGUUAUACCCAAGGAUAAAUUUUGUUCCAGGAGUUGAUCCAAAAUUGAUAAAAGAAAUGUUUGAAUAUGGUUUUCUUCACAUUGUUUAUGUUAGUGAUGAUUGCAGGGAAAUCAAAUAGCUCCCAGAAAAAAAUUGCAGAGGUUGUGAAUGGCCUCAAAAGAAUAUCUAAAAUAAAAGAAAUGAUUUUUGUCAAUAUCCUCACUGCUUGCCCUGAAUACUAUGAAAACAAGUGGUAUCCAGUGCAGCACAUGAUUCAAUUUGGAAUUACCAGCAAAAGAGUU